rnacentral:lncRNA from 1 species
CCAAGAUCAGUUUCUACGUCAAAGGGAAGAAGGAGACAUUUUUCUUCAAGAACAAGACUACACAAAUUCCAGAUCAAUCCAGACGUGAAUCAAGGAAGAUGACCAACAGGAGAAACAGGAACAAGCAAGUGUGGACCGAGUCAGCUAAGAUGGUCACUAUAGUCCAUGGAGGCCAAGAUCACCAACUGAAGUCACCGUUUUUGACCAAGAAGGACGACCCAGGAAUGCCAAGCAUUUACUGCUCCAUAAAUGGAUAUAACUUCUACAAGACGAUUUGCGACACCGGAUCAGGCAUCAACAUAAUGGCCGCAGUCACCUAUCGGCUCUUGUUCGGGACCAUGCCACUAAGACCAACAUACAUUCAGCUCCAGAUGGCAGAUCAGACAUUUCGAGAAGUUCAAGGAAUAGUAUCUGAUGUCCCAGUCAAAAUAGACGAUCACUUUGUCUACACAGACUUUCAAGUUGUUGACAUGGGAGAAGACGAGUAUGAUCCACCCAUCAUCCUUGGAAGGCCGUUCCUCAGCACCGUUAAAGCAAUUAUCUACAUUGGAACCGGAGAAGUCCAUAUGCACUUCCCCUCAGAGAAGGUACGCCGUUAUUUUACUGACCCUAACUAUAUCGUUGAAAAAUCUAAGCAGGUCAGAAAGAGACGCAACCGCAACCAGAGGAGGCAGAUCAUCAAGGACGGAUGGGCAGACUAUGAAGGAGAAGUUGUAAGGUCAGAAGACGUAGAGUUUAAACAAAAUUAUCCAGAGGAGAUUGAAGCACCGAGUCAGGUAUGGAAAAUGAAGAUAACUAUACAAGAAGAGGAGGCGCUGCCGGAAAUACCGACUACGCCACCCAACGAACCUUAGGACGAUUAAGAAAUUGGAGAGUCCCGUUCGGAGGACUUAAAAACACCGAACGCCUUGCCAAGAGGUAAACUUGGUAGUUACCCUUUCCUUCUCAAUUAUUUCAAAUAGUUUACUUAGUUAAUCAAGUUCAUGCUGUCUUAAAAAGAAAAUAAAAAUAUGAAAAACAGUAAGCCCCAUGUGAGUAUACGAGUGGCAUAAAACCCAUAAGUACUUUCACUGUGGUGGCAUAAAAAUAAAAUAAAUAUUUUUUCUGCUUUAUAAAAUAAAAAUAUAAAAACAGGGAGUAAUAAUUAUUAAGGAGUCUCAAGAUGAUGAAGGCUAUAUAUUUAUGCUAACACUUAAUUAGUUCCACAAGCUUUGUUGUCCAUUUAAGCUCCACAGAAUUCAAGAAGACUAGCAGACGGAGGACAUUCUAAUCGCUGUCAGAAUGCUGCUGACUUUCAACUACACCUCUGCCACCUGCUAGCUACAUCAAGAGAAAUUACGUCAAAAUUCAGCUUGGGGGAGAGCACCCCCAUUUAUUCCGAUAAGUAUUUUUAUCUAUCUUUAUACUUAUAUUAUUUUAGAAUAUUAAAAUACAUAACAAUGGGAAAACCAAAUAAAGAUUUUAUGCUUAUAUAUAUAUGUCUUUUGCUUAGUGUGUUUAAUAAAUAAAUAAAGUGGCUAUGCUAAUCUGUAUCUAAAUAAAACUUAAGCAUGGAUAUGAUGGAAAGUUGCUCUGCCUAAUUUGCAAAUUUUAAAGUUCUCUCUCUCAAGUUUAGACAUAACAGUUAUAAUUUAAAGCUUGCUCUAGAUCUAAACUUGUGGGAUUAAAACUUGAUCUGAAGUCUAAGUUGUUAACGGAUACGAUAUGGGAAGGCUGAGCUGCUGUUUAUCUGUUCCUAGAGAUGCUAGAAUUCUGGAGAAUUUUAUCUUUGAAAAUCUUUAAAUGUUGCAUGAUGAGUUCCUGUAUGAUGAGAGCUUAAAAUUCCUACCACAGCCAUAUAUACAUGCUUGCUAGACUUUGAGCCACACAUUUAUUAUUUACUGCUUAUGAGCAUUGAGUGUGGUCAAGCUGUGUAGACCCUUAGGAGCUUGUCAUGUGGUUAAAUCAAGAUUUCACUUACACGUUCACUCAUAUAUGCUACUUCUAUUCCCGAAGUACCAUCCACAUAUAUCCACCCAUUCCAUCUCCAGAACCACCUAAAAAUAUUCUGCUCCUAAUCCGGGAGAGAAUAACCAAAAAUAUUUCUGUUUUUCCCUUGUGAAAUAAAUGCAUAUAUGAGUGAACGUGUAAAAAUACAUAUAUCCACCCAUUCCAUCUCCAGAACCACCUAAAAAGUUAUCUUGUUACUACCACUUGCUAUAUUAUCUCAUGAGAUGAAUGCUCAAUAUUAAAAAAAAUACGAGGAAAUAAAAAGGAGCAAGUGCUCGGAACCUCGAAAGAAAAGAAAAAGUGAGACGAGAGGUAAAAAUGGACAAGUGUCCGACAGUAGAAUUAGGGGUGCAAGAUACCCACCUGAGAGAAAAGAAAAAGAAGAGCAUCUCAUUCUCCUCAUAAAGUUUCAAAAGCAAGGAAGGUAUGUAUCCCCUCAAAAGAGCAAAGUAGAAUUAGACUUCCACCACCAUUGUUUUCACCAUUGUUAUCACCAUCAUCACCAUAUACCAUUCAUUCGCCACACAUGCACAUCUUGAUUUGGCUUAUUGACUUGUUACUUUGGAUCCAUGGUUUGACUAUGCAAUACAUGUCUUGUAAGUAUGUAUACUUUAUCUCCCACCUAUGAGCUCCAGAUAUUAAAGCCUUAUUAGAGUAGGGUGAGAGAGAAGGCAAUGUCACUAUGCUUUAUACCACAAAUACCACAUAUCUUGAGAGAAGGCAUAUACCAUCAAUGCCUUGGUAAGGAUCCAAAAAUACCACAAAAGAGAGACCUGAGAGAAUCAUACAAGGAAUCUCUGAGUUUUAUUUGAAAAUCUGCAAAAAUCCCAGAGCUAUAGCUGAUCAAGAAUAAGAGACAUGGCACUUGGCUAGACUGUUCUAUCUUUUAACCACUCAAGACAGAAGUGACAAUUAUAAGUCCCAUGGUGGAGGUAAAGUAAGUAAGUUUUAAGUCUUGACAGUUUACUCUAACUUAGAGAUGAGAUCUUAUUUAAAAGCAUGUGUACCGUCAAAUUUUUAAAUAUAUUGCAACAACUUAUGAUCCAUAGCUGAGUCUAUCCUUGCUCAGGGACGAGCAAGAGGUAAGCUUGGGGGAGUUUGUUGACGGUCCUUAAGUAUCAAAUUUAAUUAUCAAAUAAAUAAAGAAAAGGAUCCAAAUGAAAUCAAGAUCUAGACUUAGGGUUUUAUCUGACAGAAUUCCAUGAGUUUUGGUGUUUGUCUAUUUCUACAGGGGGUUAUCAGGAAAUAUGGAAGAAAGGCCCACAUGUCAGGAUUACGUAAAGAUAUUAACGUGCUGCGCAAUUAUCUUACAUCUAGAAGACUCCAGAAGCCACGAGACCGAAGCGGAGGCGAAACGGGGCCAGAGGCAGGGCGCCCGCCCUGUCCUACUGGGCGCCCGCCCCCUGUCCAAGUCCAAUCAGGACUCUGCUUUGCGGGAAGUCUCCACCGACCUAAAGGAUGAAUCUAAACCAUACAAUCUAUGUCGGUUUGAUCCAAGGGCCCAUAUUCACUUGAAGGGACUAUAAAACCAGACCCCCUGGCCCCUGGAGGAGAGAGCCUCUCAACCCUAAUUCAUUGUUCCAUCAAGGGAGAAGAAGCCUCUGAUCGAGAUUAGAGCCACCACAUCAAUUAGAUAUCUAGAUUAGCAUAGCUACAUAGGAUUAGAACUAGAAGGAGUCAAUCUUCGAUUGGUUUCCGGAUCUGUCAAGAGGAUUCUUGGUAAUUCUCUAAUUGUGUUUCUAAUUACUUUCUAAUUAUCUUUGUUCUUCAAUAUUAUGAAUAUGACUUUGUUCUACUUCAAUAUAUUGCUUAUGACUUUGCUCUACUUGCUUAUAUUCAAGAUUAUAUUGUUCUUAGUUUAUCAUAGUUAUGUACUUAGCUUAGUUAGAUACGAUCUAUAUACAUGCUUAGGAUCGUAUAGCGUUUAUCCAUCGGAUCCAUAGGUAAAUGAUAGAUAUUGUGUAGGCGUGGUGCUUAUACCGUAUUUAUCUGCGAUUGUACCCAAUAUGCCAGAUCGUGCGGUGGUUCGUGAUAGUGACAGCUUCAUUGAUUCUUAUAUAGUCCCCCUCUCGUGUAUUGGUCUGGCAGAGCAACAUUAUUACAGGGGAGUGAUUGCUAUGUUUCUCAUAUUCCUUGCUAAUAUCACUAUGCAUGGGCGUAGUCUUGUCUCGCAAUGAUUGCUAAGUAUGCUUGCAUUAACUAUGAUAAUGCUAGACUAUAUAGUUAAGAAUAACUUAGGGAAUAUUCUUGUAGUUCGUUCUAAUACCAUGCUAAUGACUUUCUAGAGUAUCUAAUUGAGGUGCUUAUCAUAUUUAUUAUGUGGCUAGAUCAGAUUAGUUAUCCUUGUCACUAUUAUUAUUUCAUAUAUCUUUUAUGUGACACUUAUCCCUGUAUGAUGAGUUAGAUAUAAUGUUCUCAAUUAUACAUGCAAUGAUAGAUGCUCAAUCUCAUAUUCUAUUCUACAAUCAUUAGUGAUGAUUUCUAAUCCCUUCCCAGUGGUAAAAAUAUAAAUAACGAUACCUGGAAUACUUCCCGGUUAAAAUGCUACAUCGGUAUUAAUCUGUGCGCUUGCAGAUCCCAUUCAUUAUUUAUUUAGAAGAGCAAUUGCAUGUUUCAAUACCGCGUCUCUCAUAUCAUGCUGGGAAUGACAACUUGGCUUAAGUGGUGUGAGGGAUAGGUUUGGCAUUUUUGGCACCGUUGCUAGAUUUAGAGAACUUAGUCUACUUUUAGUAAUGAUGUUAAGAAUACCCAACACGGACCUGAUGGGAAAAGUUCAAUUGGCUUGCCACUCCUGCUGACCGAUGCGGGGAUGUUAUCGACCUGUAAUAUAACAUAGAUAGCGAGAUACCGAUGGAAAUAAAAGUGAAAGGAUUGAGACAUCGGUUUGGAAAUACUUACAGUGUUAUCAGGAACUUUGUACUGAGGGUCGAUCAUGCCGCGGUACGUGAGAACCGAUUUGCAGAACAAAUGUUCCUUCCAUUCGUCCCACCAUUGUUUGUACGACUGAGCAAUGAAGAGGGAUGGGAUCCACUCUGAUAAAUCUGCAUCUGUAUCGGCACUCGGUGGCAGUUGAGCUACUCGAGUCCACUCGAGGAGGCUAGUGAUGGUUUCCCUGGGUUUUAUCACAUCGGCAUAACAGAGUGCGAUCGGCAGCUGACUGAAAGCUAGUUGGCGGGCUAGUGCCGAUGGAUUUUAAACUCAUAGGUUCGGUUGGAGGCUUUCCCACUGCCAAAGAAGUUUACUGGUAUAGCUCUGGGAGUGAUCAGUGCCAUCAUCACAUCGUGAUCCUUGUUGAGAGCAUCAUUGAAUGGAUGGAAGACCAAAGGAAACAUGGUGUGUGGAUCUUCAUAAGGCAUCCACGCUCGCUGUUCUCUGGUCAGGCCUUCGUAUAGGGUCUGGAAGAAUCAGCUGACCUGGUCUGCGUUGCCACCUGUACCAGGUAGAACUAUGACAGCCUCACCAAAGUUCACAGGAGGACGAGUUGCCGAUUCUUCUUCAUCCAAUUCAUAAUCUUCGGCUAUGUCCCUAGGGAAGCGUUGUGCGAAGAGGUUGAACUCAAGACGCUUGUGCAUAUGGAGACUGAGCCACAUAUUGAUAAACCACCAGGGGCCCCCUAAGUUGCCAAUGGAUUGACCAAGUAGGAGUUUUCUUGCUACUUGAUGGAGGAGGUGGUAAACUGAGCCAAGCAGGUAUCGGUCGAGGGGAAAUCGGCCACCAUUAGCUAAUCUCUCUGCUGCCGAUAGGUAAAUAGAGGUUGGUCCUGCCGAUCGACCGCAAAACACAAAUUUGUCCAACCACAUGUUCAGGAAGGUGGUUUGUUCCUUUAUGUUGACAGGCCCUGUUCUACGGUACUUCUGAAUAUACCCAGACCAGCCGCCGAUAGAGCGGGUUUCCACCUUGGCACUAGGCGUGGUGUCAAAUAUGUGACUGCUAUCGGCAGUGGAUACAUCUAAGCCGGUGAGCAUAAGCACAUCGGCAAGAGUGGGAGAAGCAGGACCGUGGCCGAAGACAAAGGCAUUGAGUGUGUCCGACCAGAAAUAUGAUGUAGCUAUCAGCAGUGACUCAUUCCUAUGCAUAUCGGCGAUGGACAACCUGAUGCAUUGGUCCAGUUUUCGCUCACCCCACUGAACCUCAUUUGAGUGGCUGACUCUCAAGAACCAAUCCUUCCAUCCCACGGUAGGGCUGGGCAAGGAACGAAAGGUAUCCUUCCAUAGAUCUAGAGAAAAAUUCUCGGCUCUAAAGGGGAUUCUGUUUGUUUCUGCGUUGAUCAGAUCGGUGGGAUCUGGAUUCCCUAGAGGACCGAGACAUUGGAGGUGUGGCUAGUCUAUAGGGAUGACAAUUUUAUUGGACAGAUCCUAGUGGUUUUGAGGGUAAAAAGAAGAACAAAAGAAGAAAAAAAAUCGCGAAUUGACUGUUAGUUAUUGACUAGCUGACUGCCGUUUCGAUCGUUUUUCUCUUUUUCUNNNNNNNNNNNNNNNNNNNNNNNNNNNNNNNNNNNNNNNNNNNNNNNNNNNNNNNNNNNNNNNNNNNNNNNNNNNNNNNNNNNNNNNNNNNNNNNNNNNNNNNNNNNNNNNNNNNNNNNNNNNNNNNNNNNNNNNNNNNNNNNNNNNNNNNNNNNNNNNNNNNNNNNNNNNNNNNNNNNNNNNNNNNNNNNNNNNNNNNNNNNNNNNNNNNNNNNNNNNNNNNNNNNNNNNNNNNNNNNNNNNNNNNNNNNNNNNNNNNNNNNNNNNNNNNNNNNNNNNNNNNNNNNNNNNNNNNNNNNNNNNNNNNNNNNNNNNNNNNNNNNNNNNNNNNNNNNNNNNNNNNNNNNNNNNNNNNNNNNNNNNNNNNNNNNNAGUGUAGAUCGGCAAGAUAGGGUAACAGUAACUGGUCUGCAGGAGAGUUGCCGAUGGGGGUGUUUGCCGAUGAAGGGACAGCUGAAUGUGACUAAGUCUAUGGGUGGUGAUGUGUUUGUGCCGAUGGUCAGCAUUAACCUUUGUCGAUGGCUACGAUGAAGAGUCUGCUGAUGAUGCGGAAGGAAGACUUGAAGGUUGUCGAUUGGUCUAUGGUUGUGUUCCAGUUUGUCACGGGAGGAUAGUUUCAUGUUUUCCUUAGUUAUUUAAAUUGUUUUGUACACGGAUUCUGCUUAAAUUGGAGUUCGAGUUCUAGUCGUGUCUGGUUGUAGCUCUUUGAGCAGGGUAUAAAUGUAGACCCUAGGGCCUUGUAAUCGAUCUAUCUAUCAAUCAAUCAAACACAAGUUUUUACUAAUAUUCUAGCAUCUACUUUUUCGACGACUUCGUCAUAUUUUCUUUUUCAUUACGAGUUCUUAGGAGUUCGUCGACUUAAGCUCGGCGUAUUCUCAAGUUCCGCGUGAAUACCUCUUGGCCGUGGCAUCUGGGCGCAUCGCUGUUGUCGGGACCAAAGUAUUCGAGUUAUCACCUUUGCCGAUAGUAAGGUCAAAUCGGCUGGCACGCCUUAACGUUUGAAAUCGGGUAUUAGCCCUUUGUGUUUGUAGAUCAGCUUUUGCGUCAACAGAGAUAUAGGUGGAUAUCUGGAUGUUUAGCUGUCAAUGUUAUGGUGAAAAGUAACCCUGUAUGGGAAUGAAUCUGAGACCAGGCAGGGUCUUAUGGCGGUGUUGACCGUAGUGCCCCUACCUGUGUCGAUUAAGGACCGAUCGUUGACGACCCUCUUGUCAUGUUGAACGCAUGCCCCACACUUAGCUGGAAGGAUAAGUCCUUCCGACCGUGAAGCUUGAACACUAUCUAGACCGGGAAUCGGCCCAAUGUACAUGUUGUACUGGUGUUGGUUGAGGAGAACGACGAGGGCGCGACACGCAACCUUGGUAUACCUUGGAUACCUCUGUCGCUGGAACGGUCCUUGGGUACGGGCGGUGCCUGUCGAACCCGCGAAUUGGUCCUGGAUAGUGCAAUACGGUGACCUGUAGCUCACUUGAUUAGUUAGUGUAGUUUGUGUGGGGAAAAAACUUGCCAGCUGGUCAGAAAUCAAUUCGAAUCGCCAUCGCUCCUGGAUAGUAAGCACUUGAAAUGAGCCCUGACCUUGUAGUAAGGACUAUGAAACACUUGGGUUAUGAUAAAUGAUGAUUUGUGAAUGCUAUGGUAAGGUACUAUCAUAUCACAACAAUUGUUUGCAAUAGUACAGGUGCUAAUCUAGAUGGUAGGUAACAAUACCUAACUUGAGCAAAAUAAAAAGUAAGAAUGCAAACUUACUGGUCAGAGCGCUGGUGCGUUGCGGUGAACCGCCUCCUGAUCCUACCGGUCGGUGCCUGCGCCCUCGUCUCUACGACGCGUGUCGGCUCGACGUGCGGAGCUGGCGGGUCACUGGUCACCCGACCAGUGGUGGCCAGCGCAACGUCCAGACGACUGCGAGGCCUCCGGACCAACGACGGCGCGGCCUCCUCCUCCUCGUCAUCGUCGUCGGUGAUCCGGACGAGCCGACGGCGCUUUGGCGCCUGGCUGCUCUCUACUGGCAGCGUUGCCACAGGGGAGGGGUCUGCUGCCAAUGGCCUUUUCCCCGCCACUCUGUCCUCGGUGGUCGGGGCAGGGUGGGUCUGCUCCUCCUCACUGCUGGUGUACCGAGUACACCGAACAGCGUCGUCCUCUAGCGGAUUUUCCCCCGCAGGAUUCUCCAUCCCAGGUGCCAGUGAUACGUACACUGUGCACCAGUCAACGUCUCCGAUGUGCAACAGUAAUAAAGACAAAUCAGCGACUAGGAAGAACAAGAACUAAGGAGGUACAAUCAGUCAGUAACGUUACCAUAGGAGCUGGUCGUCCCUGCUUGAAGGCCUGCACCCGAUCACUACCACGGACGAAGCUGCCGUCCGCGAAGUUGAACAUCUCGUUCAACAGCUGCUGCACUUCCGCCUUCUCCAAGACCUCAGGCCUCAUCCUGGUCGGGUCCUGGCUUCUAGCGUACUCGUACGCCGAGUGCACCCUCUUCUGGCAGGGCAUCACCCGACGACAGACGAAGUUGCCGACCACUCCUAGCCCGUCCAAACGCGACCAGUCGAUCAGCUUCAUCAGGUCUGCUACUUGACCGGCGAACUCUGGGCGGUCGGUCCAACUGACCCUCUUCUCGAGGAUGUACCCCACGUCACAGAACGUGGAGCUGCCCGGCUCUUCCCUGAUGUAGAACCACUUCUUGUGCCAUUCGGGACUCGGCCCUNNNNNNNNNNNNNNNNNNNNNNNNNNNNNNNNNNNNNNNNNNNNNNNNNNNNNNNNNNNNNNNNNNNNNNNNNNNNNNNNNNNNNNNNNNNNNNNNNNNNNNNNNNNNNNNNNNNNNNNNNNNNNNNNNNNNNNNNNNNNNNNNNNNNNNNNNNNNNNNNNNNNNNNNNNNNNNNNNNNNNNNNNNNNNNNNNNNNNNNNNNNNNNNNNNNNNNNNNNNNNNNNNNNNNNNNNNNNNNNNNNNNNNNNNNNNNNNNNNNNNNNNNNNNNNNNNNNNNNNNNNNNNNNNNNNNNNNNNNNNNNNNNNNNNNNNNNNNNNNNNNNNNNNNNNNNNNNNNNNNNNNNNNNNNNNNNNNNNNNNNNNNNNNNNNNNNNNNNNNNNNNNNNNNNNNNNNNNNNNNNNNNNNNNNNNNNNNNNNNNNNNNNNNNNNNNNNNNNNNNNNNNNNNNNNNNNNNNNNNNNNNNNNNNNNNNNNNNNNNNNNNNNNNNNNNNNNNNNNNNNNNNNNNNNNNNNNNNNNNNNNNNNNNNNNNNNNNNNNNNNNNNNNNNNNNNNNNNNNNNNNNNNNNNNNNNNNNNNNNNNNNNNNNNNNNNNNNNNNNNNNNNNNNNNNNNNNNNNNNNNNNNNNNNNNNNNNNNNNNNNNNNNNNNNNNNNNNNNNNNNNNNNNNNNNNNNNNNNNNNNNNNNNNNNNNNNNNNNNNNNNNNNNNNNNNNNNNNNNNNNNNNNNNNNNNNNNNNNNNNNNNNNNNNNNNNNNNNNNNNNNNNNNNNNNNNNNNNNNNNNNNNNNNNNNNNNNNNNNNNNNNNNNNNNNNNNNNNNNNNNNNNNNNNNNNNNNNNNNNNNNNNNUUUUUGAAAGGCUAUACUUUUUAGAAAAGUAAAGUGGGCACACUUCACCAGGAAAGAAAUCUUUUUUGAUUAAGAGCACCAUGCAUUCUUUGAACAACCUGCUUCUUCGAUGCCAAUGUUGGUCAGCUAUCUUUGAAGUUGGUCAAAAUGUCAUUACGACUGUUUAGGCAACUUUCCUGCUUAUUGAAGACGUCAAGUUUCACUGGUCGAAGAAGCUCAAGACGCCGUGUUACUUCACAAUACAUGGUGCUCGGGGACUAGCUGUGGGGGUAUAAACCCCUAUACCCUCACGGCUAGACUUGGGCCAGGAGGCUUGGCCCAUUACGAGACAAGUUCGAGGCUUGAUCCGACAGCUCAGAGUUUCACACAAGGAAACAAGACGUGGAGAUCAAGCAGGAUUCUAGUCGGUUAAAAUAGGAAUUGAUAUCGAACUAUCUAUGGCAAUUGUAACCGACUACGAUUAGUUUCUAGAUCUGUAACCCUGCCCUCCGGACUAUAUAAGGAGAGGCAAGGGACCCCCCUAGGACAUCAUUAUUCUCUCAACACAAAUCAAUACAAUAAGAUGCAGGAUGUAGGUAUUACGCCAGCUCGGCGGCCGAACCUGGAUAAAAAGCCUGUCUGUGUCUUGCGUCACCAUCGAGUUCGUAGCUUGCGCACCGUCUACCGAUAAACUACUACCGUGGGUAUACCCCAAGAUAGACUGCCGACCAGCUUUCGUCGACACCUACCCAAUUUUGAGAGACACCAGUUCUGGAGAGAGAUAUCUAGAGAUAAUUUUUAUAGUCAAACCCGAACCAGUGACAUGGAACACCCCACUCUUUGGAUGUUCCACAAAUGUCUUGGGUACAAUCUUUUCUAUCAUGAUGAUAUUAGGAAAGUAAGAGUAGGAGAUUUACAACUUUUAUAUGCUGCUAUUAAUAAAGUACACACUUCACCUGUUACAAUUUUAGUUUCUCAUUGGCUUAGUGUACCUAGUCUUCAGGUACCAGUAGGAUGUACUUCACUUAUCACUCGUCUAGCCUCUAACCUUCAUUUGCUAGAAAACUCGUCUUUGGAAUUCAUAGAUGAGUUAAGAAUUUAUCAUGGCUAUGACACAUUUAGACAAGCUCGGAUGUUAAAGAAAGAGGGGAACAUAAUGUAUAUGCUAUAUGAUGAUAAAGGCAAGAUUCGGUUACCUAACCCGAACCUUGGCCUCUACGUUGUCCAAAAUUUUUUGAUUGAGAUUACAGCAACACCAGUGAACCAGAGAGCUCCACAGCGAGUGGCAUCUGAAAGGAUGACCACCCAUCAAGAACGUACCUGGUAUGGAGCUGAUCCCGGGCCAGAAGAAGCAGCGCACCUGCAUUAUUGCGACUACAACCCCCGAGUCCUUCGAGACCCAUGGGUUCGACAUGCGCAACCACAAGAGCCAACACAGGAGACAUGUCCGGAGGGCCAAGAUCACUAGUGGAGAAACCCGCGUUUUCAUACGGGCAGGUACUCCACUAAUCCAUAUGGAGUUUCAGGAUCCAGACCUCCGCCCCAAUUCGAUGCAGGAAGAUACUCCGACGCCUCCUACGCUUUCACGAACGACUACUACCAAGAGGCCGGCGCUUUCUUCACCCGUACCGACAACACUCUCCUCGACAUCCAGAACACGCAAGCAGAACAUGGACGACUCCUGGAAGAGCAACAAAAAUGGAACUAGGACCACGCCACUGCAGUACAAGAGCUGAGACAAGAUACAACAACAAUGAACGACAACAUCACCGCCAUGAUGCAUUUCUAGAACAUCGAAUAAGACCGACAUCCACAUCCAGCUUGGGGGAGUUCCUCCCCAAAUUUAUCAAGUAAGUUUUUAUUUGCUCUUCUUAUUUACUCUUUUCUAUUUUAGUGUCUAGUUAUCUUAAAGAGAAAAACUUAGAAAACCCAAUAAAUAUUUUCUUGCUUUAAUUUACUGCAUUCUAUAAACAUGAAAACAAAAUAAAAAGAGUGUAGAUAAGUGUGCUUUAUUUUUUCUGUUAAGUUUAAUAUCUAGAAAAAAAUAAAAAGACCAAAAAAAUACAUGAUGGAAAUGAUGAACAGUUUCUCUGUUUGCCUACUUUCAAGUACAUAGCUUUUAUAUUAGAGUUCUUCCAGGAAUCACUAAAACUGAAAUUAUUAUCUAUGGGAAACAUAAAACUAAAGUCUAAGUAAGAGAAAGGCAUGAUACAAAGUUUGAGCUACUGUUUAUCUUGUUCCUACUACACUAAGUUCUGGAGAUUUAUUUUGGAAACUUACAAAUCACAUGAUGAGUUCCUAGCAUAACAAACUACCUACCACAAUCAUACUUCCUAUAACAUCUUUUACUAUAUUCACAUUGAGUUUGAUCGAGCUGUGUAGACCCUUAGGUGCUUUUCAUGUGGUUAAAUUAAGAUAUUCACUUGUACACAUCUACUACACCAUCCACCACCAUUUAUUAAAAUUACAAAACAUAUUAUCACUCACUGUCCCAAAUAUUGUUAUUUUCUCUCUCUAAAAAGAUUCAAUGCAUAAGAGGCAUGGCUUAUGCAAAAAUAUACGAGGAAAUAAAAAAGGGCAAGUGCCCGAAACCUCGGAAAAAGAAAGAAAAAAAGUGAGACGAGAGGUAAAAAUGGACAAGUGUCCGGAGUAGAAUUAGGGGUACAAAGAUGCCACUUGAGCGGAAAAUGGANNNNNNNNNNNNNNNNNNNNNNNNNNNNNNNNNNNNNNNNNNNNNNNNNNNNNNNNNNNNNNNNNNNNNNNNNNNNNNNNNNNNNNNNNNNNNNNNNNNNUCGAUUACUUAAGACUUAAGUGCAGGUACUAAGCUCCAUGACACUUCACUCUAAUCUGGAAGAAUUUUUAUAUAAAAGCAUGUGUGGCUGUCAGGAAAGAAAACAUCGAAGCAACUCCUGAUCCAUCUGAGUUUAGCUGUUUGCUCAGCGACGAGCAAAGGGUAAGCUUGGGGGAGUUUGUUGACGGUCCUUAAGUACUAAAUUUAACCAUCAAAUAAACAUGGAAAAGGAUCAAUAUGCACCAAACAUCUAGAAUUAGGGUUUUAUCUAACAAAAUUCCACGAGCUUUGGUGUUUAUCUAUUUCUGCAGGGGGUUAUCAGAAAAUAUGGAGAGAAGGCCCACAUGUCAUGUUUACAACAAGAUAAUUACGUGCUGCGGAAUUUUCCUCAAUCUAGAAGAGUCCAGAAGCCACGGGAACGAACGGGAGACCGAACGAGCUCGGGGGCAGGGCGCCCGCCCUAGGUUGGACUCCAAUCAGAAAUCUUUUUAGGGAGCAAGCUCCACCGACCUAAAGGAUCAAGGAAAACCGUGCGAUCAAUGUCGGUUUGAUCCGACGGCCCAAAUUCACUUGAAAGGACUAUAUAACCAAGGCCUCUCCACCCCUGGGGAAGAGAAGAGAAGAGGAGAAAUCAUUAUCAGAGGUAGCCAUCAAAGUUAGGGUUUAGAGCUUCUCUCCCACAGAGAAUUAGAAUUAGCUACUCCCUAAUUCUUCAACUAUAGAGGAUUGAUUAGACAGCAAUUAGAGAAGUAGAGCACUACGCUCUAGAUUCGGAUCUUCGGUAAUAAAGAUUGGUAUUAUUCAUAUCUUUCUCUAAUACUUUGUUCUAAUUACAUUAUGUCUCUAUUUAUUAUGCUCUUAUUUUGCUCUAGUUCUAUAUUUGAUAUAGUUAUGAUUGAUAAUGAGUUUAUGUAUAAGUUUGCAAAGCACUUAGCUCUUGACUCGAGGGAGUUAAGUGGUAGAUCACAUGUGGGCAUGGUGCUUAGAUGUUAUUUACCUGCAAAUGUAUCCUAUUGGCCGGGUCGUGUGGUAGUUCGCGAUAGUGACAGCUUCGUUGAUUCUUAUAUAGUCCACCCUCCGUCGAUAGGACAGGCAGAAUUUGUAUUGCGGAGUAAGUCUUACGAUGUUAUGAUUUACUUUAGCAAUGUUCCUUAUACAUGAAUGAAGAGUCUUUUAUGCUAUACAUGAUCUUGUAGAUAACUAGAGUAGAUUGUGACUUAGUAGAUAGUAAAUAACUUAGAAUCCAUUCUCUAGCUAAUCUGACGUCACCUACAUAUAUGAGGAGUAGUCUAUUUUCUAAUCGCUGUGUUAUUUACCCAUGAACUUAUAAUUCAUUAUCAUUAUCUUUAUGGUUUACCCCCUGCCAAAGUAAGUGACUGUGUGACGAGUUUCUCAUUAGUAAUCAUGUUCUUGCAAGUUUAUCUCUAGUCUAUGCCUUGAUAGAUUUUGUCCUUAUCUUAAUUUCAUCCCUUGUUCUCUUAAGCAAAAUUAUAAAUAACGAUACCUAGAAUACUUAUCCUGGUGAAAUGCUACAAUGAGGUGUUUUAUUUGUGCGCUUGCGGAUAGAAUAGAUUAUUUUCUAGAGAGCCUUUACAUUUAUAAAUACCUUUGUACGCUCUGGCACCAUGCUGGGGAUGACAACCUAGUAUGUAAGUGGUGUUAGCUAGUGUCAACACUAUUCAUCAAAGUCAAAGGCUUAUAGAGUCUUUAAUCAUGCCACAAACAUGGUUGAAGAAACAUUUGAUGUCGAAUUUGAUGAAACCAAUGGCUCCCAAGGAGCAAGUGAUAAUCUUGAUGAUGUAGGUGAUGAACCAUUUAGGGAAGCCAUGAAGAACAUCCAGUGGGAGACAUCAAGCCCAAAGAGGAUGAUGAUGAGGUGCAAAUCAUCAAUGACCCAUCCUCCUCGCAUGUUCCACAAGAUGAUGACAAGGACAUGAGGGAUGCACGUCAAGACACACAAGUCACUCAUGAACAAGCAGUGGCACAAGCACAUGAUGCUAAUGCUCCCCAACCGACUCCUCAAGUGGUGCAAAUAAGAUCAUCACAUCUCCUUCAAGAUCACUCUCAAGAUCUCAUCAUCGGGAGUCCAACACAUGGUGUUACUACUCAUUCUAAACAUGCUUUAUUUAUUGAGCAUCACGCUUUUGUGUCGCUUGAAGAUGAACCCGAAACCAUAGAGGAAGCUCUUUGAGAUGUGGAUUGGAUCAUCGCCAUGCAAGAAGAGUUGAACAACUCCUCUUGUAAUCAAGUUUGGACCCUUGAAGAGUGACCUAAAGAUGCAAGGGUGAUAGGAACAGAGUGGGUCUUCCGGAACAAGAAAGAUGAUCAAGGCAAGGUGGUGCGCAACAAGGCAAGGCUCAUGGUGAAAGGCUUUGCACAAGUGGAAGGUCUUGACUUCGGUGAAACUUUUGCACCCAUGGCAAGACUUGAAGCUAUACAUAUCCUUCUUGCAUAUGCUUCUAACCACAACAUAAAGAUAUUUCAAAUAGAUGUGAAAAGUGCCUUUCUAAAUGGCUAUAUUAAUGAACUUGUCUAUGUUGAGCAACCCCCCAGUUUUGAAGAUCCUAGGUACCCCAAGCAUGUCUACCGGUUGUCCAAGGUGCUCUAUGGUCUCAAACAAGCUCCUAUAGCAUGGUAUGAGAGGCUAAGGGACAUUUUUAUUGCAAAGGGCUUCUAGAUUGGGAAGGUCGACAUGACACUAUUCACCAAGAACAUGAAUGGGGAAAUCUUCAUUUGCCAUGUUUAUGUUGAUGAUAUUAUUUUUGGCUCCACUAAUGAAGAUUUUUGCAAGGAAUUUGGUGAUUUGAUGUCCAAGGAGUUUGAGAUGUCCAUGAUUGGCAAGCUAUCCUUCUUCCUUGGGUUCCAAGUCAAGCAAAUGAAGAAAGGAGUCUUCAUCUCUCAAGAGAAGUACACUCAAGAUCUUCUCAAGAGGUUCAAGAUGAUGGAUUGCAAGCCAAUCAAGGCUCCCAUGGCAUCAAAUGGGCAACUCAACUUGGAUGAGGGAGGUAACCCGAUUGACAAAACUCUCUAUCGUUCCAUGAUAGGAAGAUUACUUUAUCUCACCGCAUCUAGGCCCGAUAUCAUGUUUAGUGUGUGUAUGUAUGCUAGAUAUCGAGCUAUGCCUAUGGAAUCUCACUUGAUUGCCGUCAAAAGAAUUCUUAGGUACACACCCUACCUAGGCUUGUGGUAUCCUAAAGGUGCAAGAUUCCAACUUGUAGGCUAUUCUGAUUUGGAUUAUGCCAGGUGCCACAUUGAUAGAAAGAGCACAUCCAGAGGGUGCCAUUUCCUAGGUAGAUCACUAGUAUCUUGGAUGUCAUAUAAACAAAAUAGUGUUCCUUUGUCAACAGCCAAAGCGGAAUACAUUGCCUCCGAUGCUUGUUGUGCACAAAUAAAUUACAUGAAACAAACUUUGUUAGACUAUGGAGUAGUUCUAGCUAAAGUACCUUUGUUGUGUGAUAAUGAAAGUGCCGUAAAACUUGCAAACAACCUGGUCCAACACACCCGCACUAAGCACAUAGACAUCCAUCAUCACUUCCUUAGAGAUAAUGUUGCCAAGGGUGACAUAUCACUAGAGAAUGUGGGCACGGAUAAUCAAUAGGCAAACAUCUUCACAAAACCACUAGAUGAAGCUAGGUUUUAUAUGUUGCGAAAUGAACUCAAUGUGUUUGGUCUCUCUAACUUCACUAAAAAUGAGUUUGCAUGUUGUUCUUGUACAUAACAUUUGUAUCAUAUGUCAUGCUAAACUAAAUUCCAAAAAGAUUGUGUGUAGGGCUUGUCUAUCAUGGUUAAGAUAACCACCCAUAAAGCGAGUGAAAAAACUUAACAUUCGAUCAAACUUGACAAGCAUAGGUUAACUUUCAAGUAUUGCAUUGCAUUGCAUAGCAUAUGCAUGUUUGUUGCUUAGUCGUUUCUUUUUGGUUAAGCUUUGAGCAUCCGCUGUGUUCGUCCAUUGAUAGGGGGAGCAUUCAACGCUCAUCUUGGUUAAGACCCGUUGCCAAUGGCCACAUGAUGACUCCUUGGAGUUUUCUAUCGCCUAUCUUCAUAAAAACUACAUAGCCUAUGGUUAAUUUUUGUGAAAAUUUGAGGGUUUGAGAGAGGUCACUCAUACCAGUUCCAAUUGGUGUCUCUUCUUUGUGUUGGAACUUGGUUAAGUGAAGGUGCUAUGAAGUCGCAUUGAAAUUCUAAGGCUGGUGGUGCACCGUACUACAGCGGACGCUGCGCUCGACGCGCCCUAUGCGUCUGGUGAGUGCUUCCUACUGAGGUGCAUACAUCAGACCCACACACAAUAUCGUGAGCAAGUCUGGUGCUGUGCGUGUGGUGUGCCCUGCAGAAGUGCUUCUGGCAUCGGACGCAAGGUGAGUGUCCGGUGGCCCACGUUCCGUGAUCCUGUGUAAAUUCCAAACUCUCUCUGUAUGGGUCCAGUGAGCACCGGACGCGUCUGGUGCCCACUUAAGCGCGUCCGGUGUGACCACGCGAGGACGUAUAAAUUCAGAUCCAACUAGAAUUGAGGGCAUGUUCUUUUCUUCAUGUUCACCUUCUCGCUAAGUACGCGCCACCAUUCUUCAUCACCACCACCGACACCUGAGUUGCGCCAUCGCGCUGCUGCUUUCCUCGUGCGCCUAGACUCGCCUCCAACGUCGUUGCACUCCUUGUCUUAAUGAGCACAGCCAACACCCUUCUUCCUCACGCAGUUAGGGUUUGGGGUGAGUUUCUAUUUUCACACACGCCAGGUGUUUGACAAAAUUCUCGAACCGUUUGAAACAUCAUUUUUGAUGUCAUUUAUGUUCGAUUCUCCUUUGCAGUGCCUUGCUGUGUGAUUUGUUGUGUCCUAUGGUCAUCAGAUCUCAUCUUUUCACCAGGAUCGUCUCUGACCUAGUAAGCCAAUUCCUUCUUGAACUCUUACCUUAUGCUUGCUUCCAUUAGGGUUUCGCUUCUCUAGAUGUAAUAGUUUCUUAUAUAUAUACCAUAUAUUCCAUCUAUUGUAGCGAGUGAGUCGCGUUUGGACCGAUUGUCAUUGAUAGUUGAACUCGGGGCCAAGCCUGCAAGUAUGGAUUGAGGCCAAGCCUCACAAGUGUUAGUUCGUCAUAUAUUGAGCAGUUUGGUAAUUUUGAUCUGAGAUUUUGCAAUGGCACAUUGUAAGAACGUGGGUGGUGCUCCAAUAGGUGCCUCAGGGGGUGAUGGGGGUGAUGAUGGACCCCAUCAUCUCACAACUGCUGAGAAGGGCAAGAAGGUAGUCAGCAAGAAGACGAAGAUCACUAACAAGGAAACUGAGACAGCCAGGGCAGUUAUAGCUAUAGCCGAGGCUAGUGGUCGUAGAGGGACUCUUAGGAUUGGGACUGAGCUCUCAUCUGCCUAAAGGUGUGCUAUUCUUCAGUUGGAGCAGUAGCACGGUUCUCCCCUAGGCAUAGUUACCAUUGGAGGAUGUCAGGUCCACAUUUCAGAGAGGGAGUCUGGCACAGAGAAUCAGGGGUCCUCACAGCUAGAGGAGCAGCUAGAGGUGCAGCGACUCAGGCAGUCGACUCAUGCUCGUACUCAGCCACCUCCAGGCCUACACGCAGUGCCAGUCUCAGCCACCACGUAGCUCCUCACCGCCACCAGCGCUACUAGCUCAUCACCUAAACUACACUAGAGAUGCCACAUGACAGGUCCAGGAGUUGAGGUUUGUUGCUUUUUCCACUUGGUUUCUUGCUACAAAUGAUGAGAGAGUGCAUUCCAGGUUUUACACAGUUUUGUAGGAGGAUACAUAUGUGGCUUAUGUAAACAAUGAGGCGCAGAUCAAAGAGCAGAUGGUUGUUGACCUUGAGUACUUGACCAACAUUACUAGAUAGGAUAUCAUUCCCUACUUGACCUAUCUUUCUGGUCUUGUUGGAUUGAUACGUUGAGGACUAGCUCACAGAGUUCUAUGCCACAAUCUGGACUGCCCCUGAUCAUAGCUUUAUUGAUUAUGCACUAGCAAGUACAGACUAUAGAGUGAUAGCUCAACAUGCCAGAGAGACAUUGGGGCUUCGAGAGUCAGAGAUGAGGAUUCACGAGCUAUGCUACUUUAGGGAUUGAGCCCCCUCGUCGCCCUCACAGUGGUUUGCUUCCUUCAGUGGAGUUUGUUGCUCCAUCCUUGGAUUCUUGAUGUAGUGAUGAGGAAGACUUUGUUGCCCAGGCUAGGUUUUUGUGUGCGCUUCACUCACAUUCAGUAGUAGUUGGUUGCUAACCUAGUCUCAUAGAGGGAAUUUGACAUUUGGGUUUUCAUGGUCUCUAAGAUUGAGGACACUAUUGUUGAGAGGUUCAAGGGCCAUCAUCAGCUCCCCUAUGCACAUUGGCUCAAAUUCUUGAUUCUUCGGGCAAAAGCUACAAAGUCUCUGCCAGCCACCUCCACUAGAGUUGAGACACACAUGGAGACUGAGAUAGGCUAGCAGACAUCUAUAGAGCCUAUAGAGCCGACCCAGACCGCUUCACCUACACAUGAUGAUACUGAGGGUCUGGCAGAUGUUCAGCCCACCACAACUUCCCAACGAUCGACUGGUGAGGUUUUAGAUGGUGUCUUGGCUCAGUUUGAGUCCAUUCCUUGUGGCUCAUCCGCUCCGCCUCCACCGACUAACCCUUAGACUUUUGGCGCUUGAUGCCAAAGGGGGAGUGGGAGCGAGUAUGAUAGAUUUAGGGAGCUUUGUGAGUUGGUAUUUUGGUUCUUUGUGUGAUACUUCAUGCAUCAUCUAUACUCUAAUUUCAUAUGAGCCACAUGUUUCUCCUAUUGCACUCGACUCACGUCUUUUGACGUAGGAUGUUAGCUUGGUUGAUAUAAGCAUGACUAAUCUUUUUGUUAUCAUGAUCACAUGCUUAUAUAAACCAAGUUGUUUGAAAACCUCACUCUCUUUCACAUACUCAAGGUUGUUGUCAUCAAUCACCAAAAUGGGGAGAUUGAAAGCAAGGCCCCUAGUGAGUUCUCGUGAUUAAUGAUAAUGUUAAUUACUAUAACUAAUAUGUGCUUUGCAGCGACAAUUUGAUUGAGUGAGGUCAUGGUAUUGGUGAUUGAUGGACUUUUAUGUUUGUGCCAACUUGUUGAUGGAAAUCGUUUUGGUUUCUAAAGGAUGGUGGACAUCAUUAAGAUUAGACUAGGUCUAAGUACCAUUUGGAGUUGAAGAGUGCUUAGAGUAGUCUAGGACUUUGUUUUUCCUUUGACCGUACUAUUAAGGGGGCCAAUAAACGGGUAGCUUAACCUAGGCAAGGCUUUAGGUUGAGGUGUGGUGCACACUGUUGGCAAUUCUUAACACAAUCACCAAAAGUAGACACAAAGUCUAGUCCCUGGUAAUGGUGCUAGAAAUGCUUAAUGACACUUCUUAGUAAUAUUAAGACAGGACAGAGGUUAACUACUAUACUUGAAGCAUCGGGUUGGUAGUUCUUGGCUACACCUAAGGUGAGGCUAGAGUUGGCUAGUCUACACUAAUGCCUAGCGGGGUUGUCAAUCUUGACACUAAUAGGGCCAACUGGUGUGAUUGCAAUCUACCUAGUUAAAUGGGAUCUGCAAGCGCAUAGAACUAUCGUGUGUAGCACUUUGCUUGGUGAGUAACUAGGUUUUGAUUUAUAAUUUCAACAAAGGAAGGCUAGGGUGAUGUGAUCAUGUUGGGCAAGAAUGAAUAAUCGAAGCUAGGAAUGGUAAAUGAAUGGGUAAAGGAUAACCAAACUAAUCUAUGAACUAACCUAGAUAAAUAAGAGUGGUAGCAGAUUUAGGGGACCCAAUAAAAGGAUAGUGUUGACGGUCCUUAAGUACCAAAUAUAAUCAUCAAAUAAAUAAAGAAAAGGAUCCAAAUGCAACCAACACCCAGACCUAGGGUUUUAUCUGACAGAAUUCCACGAGUUUUGGUGUUUGUCUAUUUCUGCAGGGGGUUAUCAGAAAAUACGGAAGAAAGGCACACACAUCGGGUUUACAUAGAGAUAUUAACGUGGCGCGCAAUUUUCUAUCAUCUAGAAUACUCCAGAAGCCACGGGAACAAAGCGAAAGCCGAGAGGGCUCAGGGACAGGGCGCCCGCCUAGGUCCUUAGGGCGCCCGCCCACCUAUUUCGGCCAAUCACGUUCAACUUCGCGGAUUAUGCUCCACCGACCUAAAGGAUCAAGAAUAACCGUUCAAUCAAUGUCGGUUUGAUCCGACGGCCCAGAUUCACAUGAGGGGUCUAUAUAACCAGACCCCCUGGCCCCUAGAGGAGGCACCCCUUGAUCAUUACUCAUUAUUCAUAGACAGAGCAAAAGCUAGGGUUUGGAGAUGAGAGCUCUCCUCUCUUCUCUAAACUAGAGUAGAUCUAGAUAGUAGCGAGAUGGAGAGCGAGAGAGGAUUGGAGGAGAGGCCGCCUGUCGGUUCUUCCUCCGGUUGUACUUCGUCAUGAUCAAGCUCUAAUCAAGCUUGCUCAUGGGAUGACUCUGGUAAUCUACUUCUAAUUCAUUAUGCAAUUACUAAUUAUGUAUGUUAUGGUUCACAACUCUUUUGAGUACUUCUAAUCUAUAGGACGCUAUAGGUGAGAGUUGUAGUAUAGGUGUAAGCGUGGUGCUUAGACCUAGAUUACAUGUGGAUAUCCCCUGUCUAGCUGGAUCGUGUGGUAGGCCGCGUAGGUGACAGUUACGUUGGUCCCCUGUAGUCCACCUCUUGUUAGCAAGACGGGUAGGGUUUAUCGGCCUAUGGAUAAGCAUCCUUUGUGUUGUAUUCUUAUCACGUGGUUCGUCCCAGACAUAGACAUACCCCUUUGAAGUAGAGAAAUCAUAGUUAUCCUCUCUAUUCUGCUACCAUCGCCCAUAUAUUAUAUUGCUCUACUCUCUAUUCCCAUAUUAUCACCCAUUGUUAUCUUACCUUUAAUAUUGUUCUUAUUCAAUUCUACUAUCUUUCCUAUUUACACCUACCUAUCUAUCUAGGUUAAGUUAGAUUGUAGUUGGUUCUCCCGUUUCCCUGUGGAUACGAUAAAACCUUUAAUCGGGUAAAAGCUACAACGGUAUCCGUGCACUUGUGGAUUUAUCUGUGUGCGUAUAAAUACCAUAGUACACUCUAGUGCCAUGCUGGGGAUGACAGCCUAGUAUUCAAGUGGUGUUAGCAAGUGUCAACAGAUAGCACUAGUUAUUCAAGUCAAGCAAAGAGGCGUACCCAUCCUGAACCUUAGGCACGAAGCACAACGACCCUUACAUUUUAAGAACUAGACCGAACAUGGGGGAAUACAUAGGCAAUCAGGGCUGUGACCACCUGGUGCUACCCAAGCUAUCUGUGGGUCUAGCCGUAUAUGAAUGUACGCCUAUAGCCUAAGCACCAUGCUUAUUAUAUACUCCUGAAAGAGCAUCUAGGCCACUAAUGAUUUUGGUGAUUAAUGACAAUGUUGAUUACUAUGACUAACGUGUGUUUUGCAGAGGCAAAGUCAUUAGUGAGGUCAUGGUAAUAGGUACUCGAUGAACAGGGAUGUACAUGCCUACUUAAUAGUGGAAAUCGUUUUGGUUUUCAAAGGAUAGAUGGACAUCAUCAAGACUAGACUAGGUCUAAGUGCCAUAUGGUGAAGAAGGGCACUUAGAGUAAUUUAGGACUUUGUUUUCCUUUGACCAUACUAUUAAGAGGGGCUUUGAUCUAUUAGCUUGACUUAGACAAGGGUUUAGGUUUAGGUGUGGUGCACACUUGGUAAACCUAGCACUAGGCAGCUCAGAGUUAGUCCUUAGAUCGAGAGGAACCAACUUCGUUUUGGAAUGGUCACGUUUCGACGAAGUUAGGGUGCCUAAGUAUGCACCGGACGCUCUGUGAGUGCGUCAGGUGAGAUCCUUAGCCGUUGGAGGGUUUCGGUGCUUAGGGUUAGGCACCGGACGCUGGCACCGGACUCACCGGGCAGCGUCCGGUCCCAUACCUAGGGAGGUUGUAAACCUGCCCUGAGCACUGGACGCACCGGGUAGCGUCCGGUCUUAAACUUAGGGAGUUUGUCAACCUCCCCGGAGCACCGGACGGUGCCACCGGAUGCUGGGAAGUAGCGUCCCAUGACCUGUUAGACCAAGUACAGUUAGCCGUUGAAGCGUCACCGGACGCUCGGUGCAUAGCGUCCGGUGCAACAUCCACAGCGUCCGGUAACCCCGUUUUCAAUGGAAAACGGUUGGCUGACCUUUGGACUUCGUGGGGUGUAUUUAUACUCCUCCACCUCGUCCAUGAGAGCUCUCUUGCCCAUUCCAAAAGAAAUGUGUAGCUUUCCAGUAUGACCUUCAUAAAGGAGUCUUCUCAAAGGUUGUCCUAUCAAUAGGUCAAAGUCCCAUGUAUCAAAGAUAUAAAAGUUCAAAUGAACCAUGGAGCCUUCUACCGUAAGAGGUAGGACAUUUAUAAUUCCAAGACUGGGGACUAAUCGUCCCGAAGAUUCCUUUAUGACCUUUGUUGUGGGGGUUAAGAUAAGAUUUUUAAAUAGUUUAAGUGCAAAGGAUUCAGACAUAAUGUUGAUCCCCACAACAGGAUUAUAAAGGGCAUUAAAUCGAUCAGAAUUAUAAGCACAGCGUAUAGUUAUAGAGGGUGUGUCCAAACAGAUCACAUCAGAGGAAAGCUCUGAUUCCUCCAACCAUUCGCUACUCAUGACUGAGAUAAGCUCUCUCAAUUGAUAUUCACUUGGUAAAUAAAUGCUAAAUUGGCCGUUUUGGGGUUUGUCAAUAGAAUGGUAGUUUGAAAUAUUUCCAAAAUCGGCAAAAAGAUCGGAUUCUAUAUCCAACAUGAAGUCCGGUAGUGGAAUUUCUUCAUCUUGAGGCUCAGAACUUGGGAUAGCUAAAGUAGAUGAAGAAUUUGGCAGAGUGUCUACUUCGGCUUCGUAGGUUUCAUCAUGAAGGGUAUUAUCCAUCUCAGCUUCUAGGAUUCUAUCUAGGAUCACUCUUGCUUCAUCAGCAGGGAUGCGAAAGAAAGAACCUCUAGACAUUGUGUGUAGCAUUUGUUUGUGAUUUCUAUGAAGACCUCGAAAAAAGUGAAAUAAAAGAACAGGGUCUUCAAGAUUAAGGUUUGGACCAGAUUCUAAAAGAUCAGAAAAACGUUUCCAGAAUUUUCCCAAAGUUUCAUUAUCUUUUUGUUUAAAAGAUAGGACUUCGAGUCUAAGGUCGGCUAUACUGUCAAGGGAAUAGAAAUCUAGACAAAAGUUGGCUCGUAAAACUCCCCAUUCACCUUGUUGUUGACUUACCUUCUGACUGUACCAUUGUCUAGCUUCUCCCCUUAGAGAAAAAGGAAAAAGCUUCCAACGUAAAGUCUUAUCAGAAAUGCCUUCAAUGCGAAGACAAUCACAUGUUUGCUCAAAAUCUCUAAUAUGAAGGUAAGGGUUUUCGUCUUCCUUUCUCGAAAAAGAUAGGUUUUGAAUCAUGGCAAUCAACCUAGAAAUUAACUUAUACUAGGGUGUUUGGAUAGGCUGUGAUGAUUCCCAUGGUAAAAGGUUAGUUGCUAAAGGGAUUGCAGACUCAUGGAUCGAUUUAGAAUUUUGGUUUUCCAAAAGGUAAGAAUAAAGAAAAUAAAUAAAGGAUAUAAAAGAUAAGAAAAGAUAAAAGUAUAGAUACAAGCUAAUAGUAAGACACAGGUUAUCUCAGCAACCGUCUUUCUCCCCGGCAACGGCGCCAGAAAUGCUUGUUGAUAUUUGGGAACGCAAUAAGGAAUUGAUCCGCAAGCGCACGGAUAUCGGUGAGCACUUCACCCGGGAAAUUAUCCAGAGUAUCGUAUUUAUUUUUUUACCACUAGGAGAAAGAGUGCAUCUGACUAACCGGUCUAUUACUACUAACCUUUAGGCACAAAGAAUGUCUUUCGAUGUGAGUGAUAAAUAGAGAAGACUGCAAUCGUAGUCUCCUUCUAACCUUGGUAAGGAUGAUCUACUGUUCUAAUGGGGAGGCUAACGGAAUCUAGACACCACAAAGGAUGUUCGACCCGUACCUAUAAACCCUAUCCUUCCUGCUAACGAGAUGUGAUCUACAAAGGUAGCUCGGAAUUGUCACGUUCCUCACUACUACCACGGUCCAGCUAGUCAGGGAAUAUCUAUGAGUACCCCAGCCUAAACACCACGUUUACGCCAGCAAUGAUUACUCUAAACUCUACGCGAAGAGAUUAAAGUAAACUCAUAAACCAUAAGAACAAUAAAAUAAGAACUUACUAGAAUUUAGAAGUCGAAUUACUGAAGAAUCCUAGGAGCAAGCUUCGGGUUAGGAGAACUUGAUCCCGCAGGUACAAGCUUGGAGUAGACACCGACAGGCCGAACUUCCUCCACUCUACACCUCCACUCUAUCUCUCUCAAUCUAGUAGAAACUAGAAGAUCUAUUUCUACCUUACAUUGAUUGCUAAGCCUAAAAAGAAAUAUUAAUUAGAGAAGAGGUUUUCCUUCGAGGGCACCCCUCAGUCUCUAUGAUAAUUUCUUCAUGUCUUCUCCAAGGGCCAGGGGGGCCUUGCUUAUAUAGUCCUGCCCUUCUAUGCGUUUUUGGGUCGAUAGCUGAGGUGGUACUAUGUUUUUCUUGAUCCAAUAGGUCUGUGGAAUAUCCCGAACGAAAGAGUCCUGAUUUGGCUCCAGCAGGGGGGCGGGCGCCCAGGCUACCAGGGCGGGCGCCCUGGGCCUGGCCCAGUUUUGCCUCUGCUUCGGUCUCGUGGCUUCUGGAGUCUUCUAGAUGAUGUAAAAUUGCGCGGUGCGUUGAUAUCUCUAUGUAAUCCCGACAUGUGGGCCUUUCUUCCUUAUUUCCUGAUAACCCCCUGCAGAAACAGAUAAACAACAAAACUCGUGGAAUUCUGUUAGAUCAAACCCUAAUUAUAGGUGUUGUUUGCAUAUUGGUCCUUUCUCUUGUUUAUUUGAUAAUUAAAAUUGAUACUUAAGAACCGUCAACAAAUACCCCCAUACUUAGGCUUUUACUCGUCCUCGAGAAAAGGAUGGUUAAGAAAAAUAUCUGGGGUAAAACAUUUAAAGCAUUCUCUUUAUAUAAUUGCAGGGUGUUAAAAUUCCACUGUGUACCAUAGUCAGGGAUGUUUAUGGUUAAGAGUAAAGAUCCUUUCUUCUCAAUCCUGUCACUUGGAGAUUUUGUUAUAUUUUUUAAAGAAAGUUAGCAUACCUUUUUAUCCUCAUCGGUUCUCUCAGAUCACUCAUUAUCUUUUAUAUAUCUCACUGAGGCUGUUUUAUUUUUUUGCAAAAAUUCUCAAGCAUACUUACUUUGCAUUUAUUGUCUGAUCAAAACGGGAUCCGAGGAGGGGAAUGUCAUACUCUUAGAUCAAAGACUUUGGAAAUUAAAAACUUUGUCAACUCUUGCUGGCAUAUUGCUUAUUAGAGGGACCAUGGGCUAUCAUUUUUUUUCCUCUUUUUUUUUAGAGUGGAUACCGAGGUACCCCUAAUUCUACUGCCGGACACUUGUCCAUUUUUUCUGCGAGGUUGUCGAGCACUUGCUCCUUUUUAUUUCCUCGAAAUAUUUUUAUUUUUUUUGCAUAGCCCAUGCCUCUAAUGCAAUAAUACUUCGGAAGAGUGAAUCUUUCUGAAAUAAUGUCUUGAUCUUAGGAGCAUGAUAAAUCUCUCAACAAGGGUCUAACUCAUUUUGAACAAACUCAAUACAGAGUAGAUAGCUUUAUAAUCAACAUUAAUAUUUUUAUUUUUAUCAGGCAUAUAAAACACUGAGGAUGGUAGCUAGAAUUUUGAAUAUUUUUGAAAUAAAUUCUCCAAGCAACAAUGAUAUCAAGAAUAAGAAACUCAUACUCUACCAUCACAUAUUCCAUAUUGACUUGAGUAACACAGGGUUUUAAAAUGAUUUUAUAAUAAUUGCAAGUUUUCAGGAAAUAUCACAUAUUGAGAUUAAUCAAGAUUAGAAAUAUUUUAAUCUUUUUAUUUUAUCAUGUCGGAAACAGUAAUCUGCAUAAUCCAAAAUAAAUGUAUGUAUGAAAUAAAGUGUGCAUAGUGUGUACCUGAAUCGUGGAGUGGUGUAGUCGGAGUGUGUUUGGCAUGUUAAGGGAUCUCCCCCAUACUUGUUUUCUGCUUUCUUGCACAAAAAUAAAGUAGAGACACACAAGACAUAAUAAUAAUAGUAAUACUCUUUAUUGAUCUUGAGGCAUUUAGUACAAUAGACUGAUAACAAACUGAUAGCAAACUGAUAAUAAUAGUAAACUGAUGAUAAUAGUAAACCUAAACCGAAUUUAAAGAUAAAUGACUAAGAUGCAUUGCCUCAAGGUCUAAUCUAGAUAACUUAACGGCGCUCUAAUUCCUUGAUCUUCUUGUUGGCACUGGCAAGAUCCUGCCUAAGGCCUAAUAUAACGGUGUUGUGGUUAGAGAGCUGCCUAGUGAGGGAAUUACUCGAGGACAGGAGGUCUAUGAUAACUCUAUCUAGCCUGCGAACUUCCUCAUCAAUAUCCAUUAUAGUCUUGCGACGCUUGGGAGGUUUCUCAAAAGCAUUGAGAGAGUGCUUCGGGGCUGCCUUUGGAGGGAUGAAACGGACUUUGGAUGCUCUAAUCCCUUCAAAGUAAGGCCUUUCCUCCUCCGUAGUGUAGCGAACGCUGCUGAUCUCGCCGCUCCGGUUGGUCUUGACUCCAACGACCCUCUCAUUGGGUCUAGGUGGAAGGAUCCUUGUGCCGAUUGGAACCUUGAUAGUGGUCUUCGUCUUGGAUGAUGGUCCUUUGAGGAGUAGGGGUUGUGGUGGUGCGGUGAGAACUGGUUGAGCAUGGUAAGAUUGGGCGGAGAUGCGUUGGCGUAAUGGCAUGGCUUCUAGUUGUCGCUCUGUGUUGGCCGGGAUGAGAGCACGGGCAUCGGGGUCUUCCACUGGCUCCAUGUUGAGGUUGAAGGGGACAACUUCCCAAUCAUCGUGGUACUUGUUAACGGUUCUUAAGUAUCAAUUUUAAUUAUCAAAUAAACAAGAGAAAGGACCAAUAUGCAACCAUCACCUAGAAUUAGGGUUUGAUGUGACAGAAUUCCACGAGUUUUGUUGUUUAUCUAUUUCUGCAGGGGGUUAUCAGGAAAUAAGGAAGAAAGGCCCACAUGUCGGGAUUACAUAGAGAUAUCAACGCACCGUGCAAUUUUACAUCAUCUAGAAGACUCUAGAAGCCACGAGACUGAAGCGGAGGCAAAACUGGGCCAGGCCCAGGGCGCCCGCCCUGGAAGCCUGGGCGCCCGCCCCCCUAUUGGAGCCAAUUCAGGACUCCUUCGCUCGGGAUAUUCCACCGACCUAUUGGAUCAAGAAAAACAUAGUACCACCUCGGCUAUCGACCCAAAAACGCAUAGAAGGGGAGGACUAUAUAAGCGAGGCCCCCCUGGCCCCUGGAAGACAUGAAGAAAUUAUCAUAGAGACUGAGGGGUGCCCUCGAAGGAAAACCUCUUCUCUAAUUAAUAUUUCUUUUUAGGCUUAGCAAUCAAUGUAAGGUAGAAAUAGAUCUUCUAGUUUCUACUAGAUUGAGAGAGAUAGAGUGGAGGUGUUGAGUGGAGGAAGCCCGGCCUGUCGGUGUCUACUCCAAGCUUGUACCUGCGGGAUCAAGUUCUCCUAACCCGAAGCUUGCUCCUAGGAUUCUUCAGUAAUUCGACUUCUAAAUUCUAGUAAGUUCUUGUUUUAUUGUUCUUAUGGUUUAUAAGUUUACUUUAAUCUCUUCGCGUAGAGUUUAGAGUAAUCAUUGCUGGCAUAAACGUGGUGUUUAGGCUGGGGUACUCAUAGAUAUUCCCUGACUAGCUGGACCGUGGUAGUAGUGAGGAACGUGACAUUUCCGAGCUACCUUUGUAGAUCACAUCUCGUUAGCAGGAAGGAUAGGGUUUAUAGGUGCGGGUUGAACAUCCUUUGUGGUGUCUAGAUUCCGUUAGCCUCCCCAUUAGAACAGUAGAUCAUCCUUACCAAGGUUAGAAGGAGACUACGGUUGCAGUCUUCUCUAUUUAUCACUCACAUCGAAAGACAUUCUUUGUGCCUAAAGGUUAGUAGUAAUAUACCGGUUAGUCAGAUGCACUCUUUCUCCUAGUGGUAAAAAAAUAAAUACGAUACUCUGGAUAGUUUCCCGGGUGAAGUGCUCACCGAUAUCCGUGCGCUUGCGGAUCAAUUCCUUAUUGCGUUCCCAAAUAUCAACAAGCAUUUCUGGCGCCGUUGCCGGGAAGAAAGACGGUUGUUGAGAUAACCUGUGUCUUGCUAUUAGCUUGUAUCUAUACUUUUAUCUUUUCUUAUCUUUUAUAUUCUUUAUUUAUUUUUCUUUACUCUUACCUUAUGGAAAACCAAAAUUCUAAAUCGAUCCAUGAGUCUGCAAUCCCUUUAGCAACUGACCUUUUGCCAUGGGAAUCAUCACAGCCUAUCCAAACACCCCAGUAUAAGUUAAGUUCUAGGUUGAUUGCCAUGAUUCAAAACCUAUCUUUUUCGGGAAAGGAAGACGAAAACCCUUACCUUCAUAUUAGAGAUUUUGAGCAAACAUGUGAUUGUCUUCGCAUUGAAGGCAUUUCUGAUAAGACUUUACGUUGGAAGCUUUUUCGUUUUUAUCUAAGGGGAGAAGCUAGACAAUGGUACAGUCAGAAGGUAAGUCAACAACAAGGUGAAUGGGGAGUUUUACGACCCAACUUUUGUCUAGAUUUCUAUUCCCUUGACCGUAUAGCCGACCUUAGACUCGAAGUCCUAUCUUUUAAACAAAAAGAUAAUAAAACUUUGGGAAAAUCUUGGAAACGUUUUUCUGAUCUUUUAGAUUCUGGUCCAAACCUAAAUCUUGAAGACCCUGUUCUUUUAUUUCACUUUUUUCGAGGUCUUCAUAAAAAUCACAAACAAAUGCUUCACACAAUGUCUAGAGGUUCUUUCUUUCGCAUCCCUGCUAAUGAAGCUAGAGUGAUCCUAGAUAGAAUCCUAGAAGCUGAGAUGGAUAAUACCCUUCAUGAUGAAACCUACAAAGCCGAAGUAGACACUCUGCCAAAUUCUUCAUCUACUUUAGCUAUCCCAAGUUCUGAGCCACAAGAGGAAGAAAUUCCACUACCUGACUUCAUGCUGGAUAUAGAAUCCGAUCUUUUUGCCGAUUUUGGAAAUAUUUCAAACUACCAUUCUAUUGACAAACCCCAAAACGGUCAGUUUAGCAUUUAUUUACUAAGUGAAUAUCAAUUGAGAGAGCUUAUCUCAGUCAUGAGUAGCGAAUGGUUGGAGGAAUCAGAGCUUUCCUCUGAUGUGAUCCGUUUGGACACACCCUCUAUAACUAUACGCUGUGCUUAUAAUUCUGAUCGAUUCAAUGCUCUUUAUAAUCCUGUUGUGGGGAACAACAUUAUGUCUGAAUCCUUUGCACUUAAACUAUUUAAAAAUCUUAUCUUAACCCCCACAACAAAGGUCAUAAAGGAAUCUUCGGGACAAUUAGUCCCCAGUCUUGGAAUUAUUAAUGUCCUACCUCUUAUAGUAGAAGGCUCCGUGGUUCACUUGAACUUCUAUAUCUUUGAUACAUGGGACUUCGACCUGUUAAUAGGACAACCUUUUAGAAGACUCCUUUAUGAAGGUCAUACUGGAAAGCUACACAUUUCUUUUGGAAAAACUUUUCAAUUCCCAAUGAUAAUUUCACACUCCUUAAAUAAUAAGGCCGUGUCAUAUCUUUUGCCUGAUCCUAUGGAGGAAGUAAAGGCUGCAUCUCUAGAGCUUUUAGAUGAACCAGACUUAGAAGACGAAACUCCUUUCUUCACAGAAGAAGAAGACGAACCUUCUGAGCCUGAAGCCUUAGAUGAGUUUGCAAAAACACCUAGACCCCCCAUAGAACUUAAAAUUUUACCACCCGGUCUUACCUAUGCUUUCCUAAACAAUAAUCCAGAAUUCCCUGUGAUCAUUAGCGAUAAACUCACUCAGGAUCAGACUCUGCAAUUAAUGACCAUUCUUGAGAAACAUCACUCAGUUUUUGGCUACUCACUUCAAGAUCUUACAGGAAUCAGUCCUAUGAUUUGUACCCAUCGUAUUCCAACAGAUCCUUCUGUUACACCCUCUCGAGAACCCCAACGUAGACUUAACAAUACUAUGAGAGAGGUAGUUAAAAAGGAAGUUAUAAAGUUGCUGCAUGCAGGGAUUAUAUAUCCUGUGCCGCACAGUGAGUGGGUGAGCCCAGUACAAGUUGUGCCCAAAAAGGGAGGCAUGAUAGUUAUUAUGAAUGAAAAGAACGAGCUAAUUCCGCAACGCACCGUCACAGGAUGGCGGAUGUGCAUGCACUAUAGAAAAUUAAACAAAGCCACGAGAAAGUAUCACUUUCCUUUACCUUUCAUAGAUGAGAUGCUAGAGCGGUUAGCAAACCAUUCAUUCUUUUGUUUCUUAGAUGGAUAUUCAGGAUAUCACCAAAUCCCGAUCCAUCGUGAUGAUCAAAGCAAAACCACUUUUACAUGCCCGUAUGGAACUUAUGCUUAUCGUAGAAUAUCUUUUGGGUUAUGUAAUGCACCAGCUUCUUUUCAAAGAUGCAUGAUGUCUAUAUUUUCUGAUAUGAUUGAAGAGAUUAUGGAAGUUUUCAUGGAUGAUUUCUCUGUUUAUGGAAAAACUUUUGAUAGUUGUCUUGAAAACUUAGACAAGGUUUUGCAAAGAUGUGAAGAAAAGCACUUAAUCCUUAAUUAGGAAAAAUAUCAUUUUAUGGUUAGGGAAGGAAUAGUGCUAGGACACUUAGUGUCUGAAAGAGGUAUUGAGGUAGACAAAGCUAAAAUUGAAGUAAUUGAACAACUACCCCCACCUGUGAACAUAAAAGGAAUUCGAAGCUUUCUUGGCCAUGCUGGUUUUUAUCGUAGAUUCAUAAAAGAUUUUUCAUUUAUUACUAGACCACUUACUCUUUUGCUAGCCAAGGAUGCUCCUUUCAAAUUUGAUGAUGCAUGUCUAACAUCUUUCAAUUUAUUAAAGAAAGCACUCAUCUCUGCACCAAUCAUUCAACCCCCUGAUAGGUCGUUGCCUUUUGAAAUUAUGUGUGAUGCUAGUGAUUAUGCUGUAGGGGCAGUAUUAGGACAAACUAAAGAUAAGAAGCAUCAUGCAAUUGCUUAUGCCAGUAAAACUUUGACAGGAGCUCAGCUUAAUUAUGCAACCACUGAAAAAGAGCUUCUGGCUGUUGUCUUUGCCAUAGAUAAAUUUAGAUCUUAUUUAGUUGGAGCUAAAAUAAUUGUUUACACUGAUCAUGCUGCAUUAAAAUAUUUGCUCACUAAAAAAGAUGCUAAACCUCGCCUGAUUAGAUGGAUCUUAUUAGUCCAAGAAUUUGACUUAGAAAUAAAAGAUAAAAAAGGAGUAGAAAAUUCUGUUGCUGAUCACUUGUCUAGAUUGUAUUUUAAGAGUCCACAGGAAACCCCCAUCAAUGAUUCACUCCGGGACGACAUGCUCUACGGGAUUAACAGGUCUGACCCCUGGUAUGCAGAUAUUGUUAAUUUUAUGGUUUCAGGGUAUGUACCACCAGGAGCAAACAAGAAGAAGCUUACUCAAGAAAGUCGUUCACAUAUAUGGGAUGAGCCAUACCUCUUCCGAGUAUGCUCUGACGGCUUACUCAGGAGAUGUGUGACCACUGAGGAAGGAUGGAAGAUCAUUGACAGAUGUCAUUCAUCACCAUAUGGAGGUCAUUAUGGAGCAUUCCGUACACAUUCAAAGAUCUGGCAGUGUGGAUUCUAUUGGCCUACAAUGUAUGAAGACACGAAGCAAUAUAUCAGGAGAUGUGGGCCAUUUCAAAGGCACGGAAACAUAAAUACAAGGGAUGCAAUGCCACUCACCAACAACCUUCAGAUUUAGCUCUUUGAUGUCUGGGGAAUAGACUACAUGGGUCCAUUUCCUCCAUCAAAGAAGUGUGAGUACAUCUUGGUGGCAGUUGACUAUGUCUCUAAGUGGGUAGAAGCAUUACCUUGCAAGCAUGCCGACAACGUCAGUUCAAAGAGGAUGUUUGAAGAAAUUAUAUUUCCAAGAUUUGGAGUCCCCAGAGUAGUGAUAAGUGAUGGAGGAGCACACUUCAUCGACAAACGCUUCAAGCAAUAUCUAUCAAGACAUGGAAUCCGUCACAACGUCGCUACCCCCUAUCAUCCUCAGACAAGUGGCCAAGCAGAGACUUCCAACAAACAAAUCAAGAAUAUUCUUCAGAAGACAGUAAAUGAAAUGGAAACGGCGUGGAAAGACAAGUUACCCGAUGCACUCUGGGCAUACCGGACAGCAUACAAGACCCCAAUUGGAAUGUCUCCAUACCAAUUGGUGUACGGGAAGACUUGCCAUCUACCUGUUGAACUAGAGUUCAAAGCACACUUGGCCAUAAAGAGAUGGAAUAAUGACCUAGAUGUUGCUGGAGAUUAUAGAAGAAUGCAACUAUCAGAAUUGGAAGAAUGGCGAGAGAAGGCAUAUCACAAUUCAAAGAUCUACAAAGAAAGAGUCAAGAGGUGGCAUGACAAGAGAAUCAAGAAGAAGGAGUUCACACCCGGAGAUAAGGUAUUACUUUUUAAUUCCAGGGUAAAGCUUUUCGGGCAUGGAAAACUCCGGAGCAAAUGGGAAGGACCAUUCAAGGUAAUCAAUUCAUCAUCCCAUGGAGCUAUCACACUUCAAAAUAGCGAAGGUACGUUAUUCAAGGUAAAUGGUCAACGUCUUAAAUUAUUUUUAGAGCCCAAUGAGGAAUUUGAAGAAAUAGACGUAGUCCAUUUUUACCUUCCCAUGGAGAAUUAGAGCCCGACACUUUUGGUCUAAUGGUUUUGGGGCAUAUAUAUAUUUUUCUAAAUAAUUUCGCAUCUAGAAACGCGCUCGGAAAAGUGGGCCCACAGAGGAGCCAGAGAGAGGGCGGGCGCCCAGGUCAAGUGGGCGGGCGCCCUGCCCCUAUUCCCCCUCGGUCCCGACUUUCUCUGUUAUGGAAAAUGCACUUAUGGUAAUUCGAAUAAUCCCUCGGAUAGAAAGUUUCCCACGCAAGUCGACGGGAGCAACCCGAACAACCCAUAGAGGCAUCCUUUUGACCCCUAUAUAAACAGACCCCUGACCUCAGUUUUCAAACACCAAGCCACCAAGCUUUCUCUCCUUCAAUUAGAGCUUAAUUAGCUCUCCUUCAAUUAAAAUUUUAUUAGUUCCUUGCUACUCCAAUGGCCGACAAGUACCACGACGAUUGGGAAGUCGUCCCCUUCAACCUCAACAUGGAGCCAGUGGAAGACCCCGAUGCCCGUGCUCUCGUCCCGGCCAACACAGAACGUCAGCUAGAAGCCAUUCCAUUACGCCAACGCAGCUCCGCCCAAUCUUACCAUGCUCAACCAGUUCUCACCGCACCACCACAACCCCUACUCCUCAAAGGAUCAUCAUCAAAGACAAAGACCACUAUCAAGGUGCCAAUCGGCACAAGAGUCCUUCCACCUAGACCCAAUGAGAGGGUCGUUGGAGUCAAGACCAACCGAAGCGGUGAGAUCAGCAGCGUUCGCUACACCACGGAGGAGGAAAGGCCUUACUUUGAAGGGAUUAGAGCAUCCAAAGUCCGUUUCAUCCCUCCAAAGGUAGCCCCAAAGCACGCUCUCAAUGCUUUUGAGACACCUCCCAAGCGUCGCAAGACUAUAAUGGAUAUUGAUGAGGAAGUUCGCAGGCUAGAUAGAAUUAUCAUAGACCUCCAGUCCUCGAUUAAUUCCCUCACUAGGCAGCUCUCUAACCACAACACCAUUAUACUAGGCCUUAGGCAGGAUCUUGCCAGUGCCAACAAGAAGAUCAAGGAAUUAGAGCGCCGCUAAGUUAUCUAGAUUAGACCUUGAGGCAAUGCAUCUUAGUUAUCUAUCUUUAAAUUCAGUUUAAGUUUGCUAUUAUCAGUUUGUCAUUAUCAGUUUGUUAUCAGUUUGCUAUCAGUCUUUUUAAUAAAUGCCUCAAGAUCAAUAAAGAGUAUUACUAUUAUUAUUAUGUCUUGUGUGUCUCUACUUUAUUUUUGUGCAAGAAAGCAGAAAACAAGUAUGGGGGAGAUCCCUCGACAUGCCAACCACACUCCGACUACACCACUCCACGAUUCAGGUACACACUCUGCACACUUUACUUCAUACAUACAUUUAUUUUGGAUUAUGCAGAUUACUGUUUCCGACAUGAUAAAAUAAAAAGAUUAAAAUAUUUCUAAUCAUGAUUAAUCUCAAUCUGUGAUAUUUCCUGAAAACUUGCAAUUAUUAUAAAAUCAUUUUAAAACCCUGUGUUACUUAAGUCAAGAUGGAAUAUGUGAUGGUAGAGUAUGAGUUUCUUAUUCUUGAUAUCAUUGUUGCUUGGAGAAUUUAUUUCAAAAUAUUCAAAUUUCUAGCUACCAUCCUCAGUGUUUUAUAUGCCUGAUAAGACUGAAAAUAUUAAUUAUGAUUAUAAAAGCUAUCUGCUCUGUAUUGAGUUUGUUCAAAAUGAGUUAGACCCUUGUUGAGAGAUUUAUCAUGCUCCCAAGAUCAAGACAUUAUUUCAGUAAGAUUCACUCUUCUGAAGUAUUAUUGCAUUAGAGGCAUGGGCUAUGCAAAAAUAGAAAUAUUUCGAGGAAAUAAAAAGGAGCAAGUGCUCGACAACCUCGCAGAAAAAAAAAAUGGACAAGUGUCCGGUAGAAAUAGGGGUACCUCAGUAUCCACUUAGUAAAAAAAAUGAUAGCCCAUGGUCCCUCUAAUAAGCAAUAUGCCAGUAAGAGUUGACAAAGUUUUUAAUUUCCAAAGUCUUUGAUCUAAGAGUAUGACAUUCCCCUCCUCGGAUCCUGUUUUGAUCAGGUAAUAAAUGCAAAGUAAGUAUGGUUAAGAAUUUUUGCAAAUUAAAACAACCUCAGUGAGAUAUAUAUAAAAGAUAAUGAGUGAUCUAAGAGAACCUAUGAGGAUCAAAAGGUAUGCUAACUUUCUUUUAAAAAUAUACAAAAAACUCCAAGUGGCAGGAUUGAGAAGAAAGGAUCUUUACUCUUAACCAUAUACAUCCUUUUCUCGAGGACGAGUAAAAGCCUAAGUAUGGGGGUAUUUGUUGACGGUUCUUAAGUAUCAAUUUUAAUUAUCAAAUAAACAAGAGAAAGGACCAAUAUGCAACCAUCACCUAGAAUUAGGGUUUGAUCUGACAGAAUUCCACGAGUUUUGUUGUUUAUCUAUUUCUGCAGGGGGUUAUCAGGAAAUAAGGAAGAAAGGCCCACAUGUCGGGAUUACAUAGAGAUAUCAACGCACCGCGCAAUUUUACAUCAUCUAGAAGACUCCAGAAGCCACAAGACUGAAGCGGAGGCAAAACUGGGCCAGGCCCAGGGCGCCCGCCCUGGAAGCCUGGGCGCCCGCCCCCCUAUUGGAGCCAAUUCAGGACUCCUUCGCUCGGGAUAUUCCACCGACCUAUUGGAUCAAGAAAAACAUAGUACCACCUCGGCUGUCGACCCAAAAACGCAUAGAAGGGGAGGACUAUAUAAGCGAGGCCCCCCUGGCCCCUGGAAGACAUGAAGAAAUUAUCAUAGAGACUGAGGGGUGCCCUCGAAGGAAAACCUCUUCUCUAAUUAAUAUUUCUUUUUAGGCUUAGCAAUCAAUGUAAGGUAGAAAUAGAUCUUCUAGUUUCUACUAGAUUGAGAGAGAUAGAGUGGAGGUGUUGAGUGGAGGAAGCCCGGCCUGUCGGUGUCUACUCCAAGCUUGUACCUGCGGGAUCAAGUUCUCCUAACCCGAAGCUUGCUCCUAGGAUUCUUCAGUAAUUCGACUUCUAAAUUCUAGUAAGUUCUUGUUUUAUUGUUCUUAUGGUUUAUGAGUUUACUUUAAUCUCUUCGCGUAGAGUUUAGAGUAAUCAUUGCUGGCAUAAACGUGGUGUUUAGGCUGGGGUACUCAUAGAUAUUCCCUGACUAGCUGGACCGUGGUAGUAGUGAAGAACGUGACAUUUCCGAGCUACCUUUGUAGAUCACAUCUCGUUAGCAGGAAGGAUAGGGUUUAUAGGUGCGGGUUGAACAUCCUUUGUGGUGUCUAGAUUCCGUUAGCCUCCCCAUUAGAACAGUAGAUCAUCCUUACCAAGGUUAGAAGGAGACUACGGUUGCAGUCUUCUCUAUUUAUCACUCACAUCGAAAGACAUUCUUUGUGCCUAAAGGUUAGUAGUAAUAGACCGGUUAGUCAGAUGCACUCUUUCUCCUAGUGGUAAAAAAAUAAAUACGAUACUCUGGAUAAUUUCCCGGGUGAAGUGCUCACCGAUAUCCGUGCGCUUGCGGAUCAAUUCCUUAUUGCGUUCCCAAAUAUCAACAGUACUUCUUGGCCAUUGGAGUAGCAAGGAACUAAUAAAAUUUUAAUUGAAGUAGAGAUAAUUAAGCUCUAAUUGAAGGAGAGAAAGCUUGGUGGCUUGGUGUCUGAAAACUAAGGUCAGGGGUCUGUUUAUAUAGGGGUCAAAAGGAUGCCUCUAUGGGUUGUUCGGGUUGCUCCCGUCGAUGUACGUGCGAAACUUUCCAUCCGAGGGAUUAUUCGGAUCACCCUAAGUGCAUUUUCCAUAUCAGAGAAAGUCGGGACCGAGGGGGAACAGGAGCUGGGCGCCCGCCCACUUGAUCUGGGCGCCCGCCCUCUCUCUGGCUCUUCUAUGGGCCCACUUUUCCGAGCGUGUUUCUAGAUGCGAAAUUAUUUAGAAAAAUAUAUAUAUGCCCCAAAACCAUCAGACCAAAAGUAUCGGGCUCUAAUUCUCCAUGGGAAGGUAAAAAUGGACUACGUCUAUUUCUUCAAAUUCCUCAUUGGGCUCUAAAAAUAAUUUAAGACGUUGACCAUUUACCUUGAAUAACGUACCUUCGCUAUUUUGAAGUGUGAUAGCUCCAUGGGAUGAUGAAUUGAUUACCUUGAAUGGUCCUUCCCAUUGGCUCUGGAGUUUUCCAUGUCCGAAAAGCUUUACCCUGGAAUUAAAAAGUAAUACCUUAUCUCCGGGUGUGAACUCCUUCUUCUUGAUUCUCUUGUCAUGCCACCUCUUGACUCUUUCUUUGUAGAUUUUUGAAUUGUGAUAUGCCUUCUCUCGCCAUUCUUCCAAUUCUGAUAGUUGCAUUCUUCUAUAAUCUCCAGCAACAUCUAGGUCCAUAUUCCAUCUCUUUAUGGCCCAGUGUGCUUUGAACUCUAGUUCAACAGGUAGAUGGCAAGUCUUCCCGUACACCAAUUGGUAUGGAGACAUUCCAAUUGGGGUCUUGUAUGCUGUCCGGUAUGCCCAGAGUGCAUCGGGUAACUUAACUUUCCACGCUGUUCCCAUUUCAUUUACUGUCUUCUGAAGAAUAUUCUUGAUUUGUUUGUUGGAAGUCUCUGCUUGGCCACUUGUCUGAGGACGAUAGGGGGUAGCGACAUUGUGACGGAUUCCAUGUCUUGAUAGAUAUUGCUUGAAGCGUUUGUCGAUGAAGUGUGCUCCUCCAUCACUUAUCACUACUCUGGGAACUCCAAAUCUUGGAAAUAUAAUUUCUUCAAACAUCCUCUUUGAACUGACGUUGUCGGCAUGCUUGCAAGGUAAUGCUUCUACCCACUUGGAGACAUAGUCAACCGCCACCAAAAUGUACUCACACUUCUUUGAUGGAGGAAAUGGACCCAUGUAGUCUAUUCCCCAGACAUCAAAGAGCUCAAUCUGAAGGUUGUUGGUGAGUGGCAUUGCAUCCCUUGUAUUUAUGUUUCCGUGCCUUUGACAUGGCCCACAUCUUCUAAUAUAUUGCUUCGUGUCUUCAUACAUUGUAGGCCAAUAGAAUCCACACUGCCAGAUCUUUGAAUGUGUACGGAAUGCUCCAUAAUGACCUCCAUAUGGUGAUGAAUGACAUCUGUCGAUGAUCUUCUAUCCUUCCUCAGUGGUCACACAUCUCCUGAGUAAGCCGUCAGAGCAUACUCGGAAGAGGUAUGGCUCAUCCCAUAUAUGUGAACGACUUUCUUGAAGAAGCUUCUUCUUGUCUGCUCCUGGUGGUACAUACCCUGAAACCAUAAAAUUAACAAUAUCUGCAUACCAGGGGUCACACCUGUUAAUCCCGUAGAGCAUGUUGUCCCGGAGUGAAUCAUUGAUUGGGGUUUCCUGUGGACUCUUAAAAUACAUUCUAGACAAGUGAUCAGCAAUAGAAUUUUCUACUCCCUUUUUAUCUUUUAUUUCUAAGUCAAAUUCUUGGAGUAAUAAAAUCCAUCUAAUCAGGCGAGGUUUAGCAUAUUUUUUAGUGAGCAAAUAUUUUAGUGCAGCAUGAUCAGUGUAAACAAUUAUUUUAGCUCCAACUAAAUAAGAUCUAAAUUUAUCAAUGGCAAAGACAACAGCCAGAAGCUCUUUUUCAGUGGUUGCAUAAUUAAGUUGAGCUCCUGUCAAAGUUUUACUGGCAUAAGCAAUUGCAUGAUGCUUCUUAUCUUUAGUUUGUCCCAAUACUGCCCCCACAGCAUAAUCACUAGCAUCACACAUAAUUUCAAAAGGUAACGACCAAUCAGGGGGUUGAAUGAUUGGUGCAGAGAUGAGUGCUUUCUUUAAUAAAUUGAAAGAUGUUAGACAUGCAUCAUCAAAUUCGAAAGGAGCAUCCUUGGCUAGCAAAAGAGUAAGUGGUCUAGCAAUGAAUGAAAAAUCUUUUAUGAAUCUACGAUAAAAACCAGCAUGGCCAAGAAAGCUUCGAAUUCCUUUUAUAUUCACAGGUGGAGGUAGUUGUUCAACUACUUCAAUUUUAGCUUUGUCUACCUCAAUUCCUCUUUCAGACACUAAGUGUCCCAGCACUAUUCCUUCCCUAACCAUAAAAUGACAUUUUUCCCAAUUAAGGAUUAAGUGCUUUUCUUCACAUCUUUGCAAAACCUUGUCUAAGUUUUCAAGACAACUAUCAAAAGUUUUUCCAUAAAUAGAGAAAUCAUCCAUGAAAACUUCCAUAAUCUCUUCAAUCAUAUCAAAAAAUAUAGACAUCAUGCAUCUUUGAAAAGAAGCUGGUGCAUUACAUAACCCAAAAGACAUUCUACGGUAAGCAUAAGUUCCAUAAGGGCAUGUAAAAGUGGUUUUGCUUUGAUCAUCGGGAUGGAUCGGGAUUUGAUGAUACCCUGAAUAUCCAUCUAAGAAACAAAAGAAUGAAUGAUUUGCUAACCGCUCUAGCAUCUCAUCUAUAAAAGGUAAGGGAAAGUGAUCUUUUCUCGUGGCUUUGUUUAGUUUUCUAUAGUCUAUGCACAUCCGCCAUCCUGUGACGGUGCGUUGCGGAAUUAGCUCGUUCUUUUCAUUCAUAAUAACUGUCAUGCCUCCCUUUUUGGGCACAACUUGGACUGGGCUCACCCACUCACUGUGCGGCACAGGAUAUAUAAUCCCUGCAUGCAGCAACUUAAUAACUUCCUUUUUAACUACCUCUCUCAUAGUGUUGUUAAGUCUACGUUGGGGUUCUCGAGAGGGUGUAACAGAAGGAUCUGUUGGAAUACGAUGGGUACAAAUCAUAGGACUGAUUCCUGUAAGAUCUUGAAGUGAGUAGCCGAAUACUGAGUGAUGUUUCUCAAGAAUGGUCAUUAAUCACAGAGUUUGAUCCUGAGUGAGUUUAUCGCUAAUGAUCACAGGAAACUCUGGAUUAUUGUUUAGGAAAGCAUAGGUAAGACCGGGUGGUAAAGUUUUAAGCUCUAUGGGGGGUCUAGGUGUUUCUGCAAACUCAUCUAAGGGUUCAGGCUCAGAAGGUUCGUCUUCUUCUUCUGUGAAGAAAGGAGUUUCGUCUUCUAAGUCUGGUUCAUCUAAAAGCUCUAGAGAUGCAGCCUUUACUUCCUCCAUAGGAUCAGGCAAAAGAUAUGACUCGGCCUUAUUGUUUAAGGAGUGUGAAAUUAUUAUUGAGAAUUUAAAAGUUUUUCCAAAAGAAAUGUGUAGCUUUCCAGUAUGACCUUCAUAAAGGAGUCUUCUAAAAGGUUGUCCUAUCAAUAGGUCAAAGUCCCAUGUAUCAAAGAUAUAAAAGUUCAAAUGAACCAUGGAGCCUUCUACCGUAAGAGGUAGGACAUUUAUAAUUCCAAGACUGGGGACUAAUCGUCCCGAAGAUUCCUUUAUGACCUUUGUUGUGGGGGUUAAGAUAAGAUUUUUAAAUAGUUUAAGUGCAAAGGAUUCAGACAUAAUGUUGAUCCCCACAACAGGAUUAUAAAGAGCAUUAAAUCGAUCAGAAUUAUAAGCACAGCGUAUAGUUAUAGAGGGUGUGUCCAAACGGAUCACAUCAGAGGAAAGCUCUGAUUCCUCCAACCAUUCGCUGCUCAUGACUGAGAUAAGCUCUCUCAAUUGAUAUUCACUUGGUAAAUAAAUGCUAAAUUGGCCGUUUUGGGGUUUGUCAAUAGAAUGGUAGUUUGAAAUAUUUCCAAAAUCGGCAAAAAGAUCGGAUUCUAUAUCCAGCAUGAAGUCCGGUAGUGGAAUUUCUUCCUCUUGAGGCUCAGAACUUGGGAUAGCUAAAGUAGAUGAAGAAUUUGGCAGAGUGUCUACUUCGGCUUCGUAGGUUUCAUCAUGAAGGGUAUUAUCCAUCUCAGCUUCUAGGAUUCUAUCUAGGAUCACUCUUGCUUCAUCAGCAGGGAUGCGAAAGAAAGAACCUCUAGACAUUGUGUGUAGCAUUUGUUUGUGAUUUCUAUGAAGACCUCGAAAAAAGUGAAAUAAAAGAACAGGGUCUUCAAGAUUAAGGUUUGGACCAGAUUCUAAAAGAUCAGAAAAACGUUUCCAGGAUUUUCCCAAAGUUUCAUUAUCUUUUUGUUUAAAAGAUAGGACUUCGAGUCUAAGGUCGGCUAUAAUGUCAAGGGAAUAGAAAUCUAGACAAAUGUUGGCUCGUAAAACUCCCCAUUCACCUUGUUGUUGACUUACCUUCUGACUGUACCAUUGUCUAGCUUCUCCCCUUAGAGAAAAAGGAAAAAGCUUCCAACGUAAAGUCUUAUCAGAAAUGCCUUCAAUGCAAAGACAAUCACAUGUUUGCUCAAAAUCUCUAAUAUGAAGGUAAGGGUUUUCGUCUUCCUUUCCCGAAAAAGAUAGGUUUUGAAUCAUGGCAAUCAACCUAGAACUUAACUUAUACUGGGGUGUUUGGAUAGGCUGUGAUGAUUCCCAUGGUAAAAGGUUAGUUGCUAAAGGGAUUGCAGACUCAUGGAUCGAUUUAGAAUUUUGGUUUUCCAUAAGGUAGGAAUAAAGAAAAUAAAUAAAGGAUAUAAAAGAUAAGAAAAGAUAAAAGUAUAGAUACAAGCUAAUAGUAAGACACAGGUUAUCUCAGCAACCGUCUUUCUCCCCGGCAACGGCGCCAGAAAUGCUUGUUGAUAUUUGGGAACGCAAUAAGGAAUUGAUCCGCAAGCGCACGGAUAUCGGUGAGCACUUCACCCGGGAAAUUAUCCAGAGUAUCGUAUUUCUUUUUUUACCACUAGGAGAAAGAGUGCAUCUGACUAACCGGUCUAUUACUACUAACCUUUAGGCACAAAGAAUGUCUUUCGAUGUGAGUGAUAAAUAGAGAAGACUGCAACCGUAGUCUCCUUCUAACCUUGGUAAGGAUGAUCUACUGUUCUAAUGGGGAGGCUAACGGAAUCUAAACACCACAAAGGAUGUUCGACCCGCACCUAUAAACCCUAUCCUUCCUGCUAACGAGAUGUGAUCUACAAAGGUAGCUCGGAAUUGUCACGUUCCUCACUACUACCAUGGUCCAGCUAGUCAGGGAAUAUCUAUGAGUACCCCAGCCUAAACACCACGUUUACGCCAGCAACGAUUACUCUAAACUCUACGCGAAGAGAUUAAAGUAAACUCAUAAACCAUAAGAACAAUAAAACAAGAACUUACUAGAAUUUAGAAGUCGAAUUACUGAAGAAUCCUAGGAGCAAGCUUCGGGUUAGGAGAACUUGAUCCCGCAGGUACAAGCUUGGAGUAGACACCGACAGGCCGGACUUCCUCCACUCUACACCUCCACUCUAUCUCUCUCAAUCUAGUAGAAACUAGAAGAUCUAUUUCUACCUUACAUUGAUUGCUAAGCCUAAAAAGAAAUAUUAAUUAGAGAAGAGGUUUUCCUUCGAGGGCACCCCUCAGUCUCUAUGAUAAUUUCUUCAUGUCUUCUCCAAGGGCCAGGGGGGCCUUGCUUAUAUAGUCCUCCCCUUCUAUGCGUUUUUGGGUCGAUAGCCGAGGUGGUACUAUGUUUUUCUUGAUCCAAUAGGUUGGUGGAAUAUCCCGAACGAAAGAGUCCUGAUUUGGCUCCAGCAGGGGGGGCGGGCGCCCAGGGCCUGGCCCAGUUUUGCCUCUGCUUCGGUCUCGUGGCUUCUGGAGUCUUCUAGAUCAUGUAAAAUUGCGCGGUGCGUUGAUAUCUCUAUGUAAUCCCGACAUGUGGGCCUUUCUUCCUUAUUUCCUGAUAACCCCCUGCAGAAACAGAUAAACAACAAAACUCGUGGAAUUCUGUUAGAUCAAACCCUAAUUCUAGGUGUUGUUUGCAUAUUGGUCCUUUCUCUUGUUUAUUUGAUAAUUAAAAUUGAUACUUAAGAACCAUCAACAUCAAGCUUAUGAGCGGUUUUGGGCGAUUCACCGCGACGGAGUGUCGAAGAAUAAGCCCGUAGAGAGCACUUGGUCCUUGCGCGAACCAAGGGGGAGCAAGACCCUUGCGCGGGUGCUCCAACGAGGACUAGUGGAGAGUGGCGACUCUCUGAUACCUUGACAAAACAUCACCGAGCACUUUCUUCCACUACUCAAUUACUUUCUAGCAUUUACUUUGUGUUUCUACAUUCUUAGAAUUGCCACGCUAGAAUAGGAUUGGAACUAGGUUGCAAAACUUUUAUUCGGUAGCUCUCUAGUCACACUAGGCACAAGGGGUUGAAUUGGAGCUUAUAGGUUUCUUAAAUUUUUAGAGAAGCCCAAUUCACCCCCCCCCUCUUGGGCAUCUUGAUCCUUUCAAUUGGCAUCGGAGCUUAGUGCCCAUUAUUUAGGCUUCACCGCCUAGAGAAAGAUGUCUAACGGGGUUGGACCGCCACCCAUGUUCAAUGGGGAUGACUUUCUGUAUUGGAAAAUACGGAUGGAGUCAUAUCUUGAGGCAUGUGAUAUAAAGUGCCUAAAAGCCACGACCGAAGGGUUUACCCCUCCGGCAAAAGACGCCGUUCUUACUCCACAAGAACAAGAGAACGAGAAGUUGAAUGCAAAGGCCAAAAACCACAUCUUUAGAGGUCUUUGCAAAGAGGUGUUCAACCGCGUUCGGAGCCACAAAACCGCCCAUGCUCUAUGGUAGGAACUUUGUGCGCUCCAUGAGGGAUCGAAGAGUGAACGCGAGGAAUGCUAUCACUUAGUGAUGAACAAGCUUAAUACAUUUGAAAUGCUUCCCAAAGAGAAUGCUAAUGAAAUGUAUUCUCGCUUGAAUGUGAUUUUAGAGGAGCUUAAUGGACUUGGGCUCACUCAAAUGAGUACGGCGGAUGUCGCAAGGAAGAUACUAUGAGUGCUUCCCAUUGAGAAAUAUGGGCACAUAGUAACCGUGCUUCAUCAAGGCGAUCUCUCCACCGCUACACCAACCGCCAUAUUGGGGAAGAUCAAUGCUCAUGAGAUGUAUAUGCACAUGAACCCCCAAGAUGGCUCCUCAUCGGCCAAGAAGGAGAAUAAGGACUUGGCCCUCAAAGCUUCUCACAAGGGCAAAGCCAAGAAGAUUGAAGUUGAAUCAUCAACUUCAAGUGAUGAUGAUGCAUCCAUUGCCCUCUUGGUGAGAAGAACCACCAAGAUGUUGAAGAAGCUCAACAAGAAUGGAGUCAACUUUGACUCCAAGAAGAAGAAGUUCUUCACAAGUAGCAAGAGAAAGCCCAUCUCCGAGAUGGAUUGCUACGAUUGUGGUGAACUUGGUCAUCUUGCGCAUCAAUGUCCAAAGCCCAAGAAGGACAAGUACAAGAAGAAGAAUAAAGAGCAAGAUGAUUCAAGUGAUGAUGAAAAGAAGCCAUACAAGAAGAAAGGUGGCAAGAAGAAGGAGCACUACAAGAAGAAGAAUGGCAAGGCUUACAUUGUUGGUGAUUGGCUCACUGACAUUGAGAGCUCAAGUGGUGACUCCUCCGGCAAUGAGAGAGAUGAUGAGAAGGUUACCGCCAAUGCCAUCGAUGCUUCAUCACCAUCUUGUUCACCACCAUCUACAUCCUCUACACACCUAUGCCUCAUGGCUAAAGGUGACCGGAAGGUACAAAGUGAGGAUGAGAGUAGUGAGAGUGAUAGUGAAUACGAAUCACCUUCUUAUGAUGAACUUGUAAAAUUACUUAACAAAUACACAAAAGUCAUAAGAAAAUCUAAAAGUGAAAAUGAAAAGCUUGAACUUGAAAAUGAAACACUUCUAGCAAAGCUUAAAUCUAGUGAUGAGCUUAGAGAUCAAAAUGAGAUCAUGACCACUAAGCUCAAGGAGCUCAAACUCUCUUUAAAAGAGCACAAAGAAAAAUAUGAUAAACUUGAGAGUGUUCAUGAUGAGCUUAUCACUAGAUAUAGAGCAACGAAAGAAGAGCUAACAACUCUAAAAGCAAAAUAUGACAACCUCGAGAUAGCUUAUGAACUUGCAAUUGAUGAAACACAUGUUGCUACUGUUGACGGUUCUUAAGUAUCAAUUUUAAUUAUCAAAUAAACAAGAGAAAGGACCAAUAUGCAACCAUCACCUAGAAUUAGGGUUUGAUCUGACAGAAUUCCACGAGUUUUGUUGUUUAUUUGUUUCUGCAGGGGGUUAUCAGGAAAUAAGGAAGAAAGGCCCACAUGUCAGGAUUACAUAGAGAUAUCAACGCACCGCGUAAUUUUACAUCAUCUAGAAGACUCCAGAAGCCACGAGAUCGAAGCGGAGGCAAAACUGGGCCAGGCCCUGGGCGCCCGCCCUGGUAGCCUGGGCGCCCGCCCCCCUGUUGGAGCCAAUUCAGGACUCCUUCGCUCGGGAUAUUCCACCGACCUAUUGGAUCAAGAAAAACAUAGUACCACCUCGCCUAUCGACCCAAAAACGCAUAGAAGGGGAGGACUAUAUAAGCAAGGCCCCCCUGGCCCCUGGAAGACAUGAAGAAAUUAUCAUAGAGACUGAGGGGUGCCCUCGAAGGAAAACCUCUUCUCUAAUUAAUAUUUCUUUUUAGGCUUAGCAAUCAAUGUAAGGUAGAAAUAGAUCUUCUAGUUUCUACUAGAUUGAGAGAGAUAGAGUGGAGGUGUAGAGUGGAGGAAGCGCGGCCUGUCGGUGUCUACUCCAAGCUUGUACCUGCGGGAUCAAGUUCUCCUAACCCGAAGCUUGCUCCUAGGAUUCUUCAGUAAUUCGACUUCUAAAUUCUAGUAAGUUCUUGUUUUAUUGUUCUUAUGGUUUAUGAGUUUACUUUAAUCUCUUCACGUAGAGUUUAGAGUAAUCAUUGCUGGCGUAAACGUGGUGUUUAGGCUGGGGUACUCAUAGAUAUUCCCUGACUAGCUGGACCGUGGUAGUAGUGAGGAAUGUGACAUUUCCGAGCUACCUUUGUAGAUCACAUCUCGUUAGCAGGAAGGAUAGGGUUUAUAGGUGCGGGUUGAACAUCCUUUGUGGUGUCUAGAUUCCGUUAGCCUCCCCAUUAGAACAGUAGAUCAUCCUUACCAAGGUUAGAAGGAGACUACGGUUGCAGUCUUCUCUAUUUAUCACUCACAUCGAAAGACAUUCUUUGUGCCUAAAGGGAUAAUAGCAAUAGAUUUGGUUAGUCAGAUGCACCCUUUCUCCCAGUGGUAAAAAUAUAAAUACGAUACUCUGGAAAACCUCCCGGGUGAAAUGCUCACCGAUAUCCGUGCGCUUGCGGAUCAUUUCCUUAUUGCGUUACCAAAUAUCAACAAGCAUUUCUGGCGCCGUUGCUGGGGAAAAAGACGGUUUGCUGAGAUAACUUUGAGUCUUGCUAUUAUCUUGUAUUAUACUUUUAAACUUUUAUUCUUUUAUCUUUUUAUUUUUAUCUUUAUGGAUAACUCAAAUUCCAUAACUAUUAUUAAAUUCUUUGCACCUUCGGAGACCAGCCAUAGACCAUGGGAGUCAACACGUCCUGCCCCUAAUUAUGAUCUGUGUCCGGAGUUGAUUGCAAUAGGUCAAAACCAACCCUUUUCUAUAGCCGAGGUCCUAUCUUUUAAUCAAGAAGAUAAUGCACUUUUAGCUACACCUAGGGAAUCUGUUAAUCUUUCUAUAAAUUCUGGUUUAGACCUAGCCUUGCAAGACCAUGUUUUUCUUAGAUAUUUUCACAUUGGUCUUAAUCAUAUAACCUUUGGUAGAGUCCUUCUUUCUUUAUCAGUUAGUAACGGAAGGUAUGUCUUCAUUCGUGGACAUCCUUCUUGUACUAGUCUUCAUAGAAAAAUCAUAGAGAUAGAGAAGGAAUCAUCUCCCAUACAAGGAGAGGAAGUUUCAAUAGCCGAUUUCCAAACUUUCCAAUCCCAUGAUUCGGCUAUCCAACCCAUCCUUGAGCCUAAUAAUCUCUACUAUGCUCUUUCUCUUGAACCUCCCGAUAAUCCUAUGAAUCUCUCUAGACAUCCCAUGCAUAAGAAGGAGGAUCGAGGAGAGCAACAUCAAUGGCUAGAGGGCAUUAAAAAUUCAUGUGCUAUCACCACAUUUGAGAUCUCUAACCCUCUCUUCUUUUCUAUUUAUAAAAACUUUAAAAGAGCGGUUGUCGAUGCAUAUGUUUAUAAUAAAUAUUGCAGAUCUCGUCGAGUUAAUUGAUGGUUUCCCAAGGACAAGCUUAGUGUCCUAAAACAAGCACUUAUCAGAUUGUAACAUGAACUUCUAAUUACUUGCAACAUUACCUUGUGUAUUGAGCAUAUAAGAUAAUUGUAGAAAUAUUCCUUCGGGUAUUCUUGUCACUAACCUUUCUAGGAUUGGAGCAAGAAGACCGGAUGAAUGACAAGCGCAAGGUAUGCCCAACCAAUCAACAUGCAACAAUGAAUUAAAUUCAUCCAAUCUUGAAUUUUGCAAAAUUCAAGCUUAGGGGAGUACUUCACAAAAAACAUCCUUUGCCAUGUUGCUAUGUUGGUUGUCCUUACCUUUGAGACAUGCUCAAUUUGUUAAAUACUAAUCACACUACUUCAUCUCCACUUAAGUAGAUCUCUAUAAAUGCCAUCACGCUACCUUUGUUUAUCCUAGUAAGUGUUAGUUUGGAAGUACUACACAUACUUCUAUUGGCUUUUAAAUUAAGCAUGGUGCUUAGGUUAAACAGCCUUCCUUAAUCUGAUUAGACAUGGAGUCUAGUUCGGUUAUCGAACUAAAAAUUGCUUGUGUAGACAUUGGUAUAUUUUGUGGGACUAACCCCUGCAGGAAAACUUUCAAUAUCAACCUGGGAAGUCCUGAGAUAAACUCACAUUGGAGAUAAAGAAAGUGACACAUGAAGUUUAACAAUUUGCACAAGAAAGACGUAGCUCAUAAGAGAUGAUCCAUGGAGGGAGCCACAAACUCGAUGCACAACCGCUAGAAAGGAAAGCUUCUACAAGGUGAUACUGUACCAUCACUCUUCAAAGGUAACAUCUUAAGGUACUUGACUAUCCUUUUAUAAGUUUCUCCUUGGUUCUGGCGUUCACAUAAAUAAAGAGACAAACAUGUAUGAUUUAUAACUCUAAAAUAACCAACCUAACUGAUUCAACAUGUUUAGUCCCUUAAUCUUUGUUCUUAGUACUACCUUCGUAAUCCCACGCUUCUAAACAUAUAAGCUAAUAUGUUGCACAUUCAAUCUUUGGAAGAUAAAAAAAAACAUAAAUAUAGAUAGAUUAUCUUUCCAUUAGGUUGAGCCAUCUGAUCUAACAAAUGUUUUAAAUGCUACACUCAUGAUCCAUCAACUUUGUCUUGCUCACUAUGCUUAAGGUUAGAAAAGAACAAAUACACUUUUGGUUCUGUUGGUGUUUUCCACCAACAGAGCCCAUGCACUUGAUCUCUGCCUUGUCUCUAUGAGCAGGACACAUUUUGAGAAACAUGAAGGCGUUUUACAACUCCCAGAUUCCAUUAAGUGAAGAAACGGGAUCUACGAGCACAAACACAAUGGAGAUCAGACACUUAGUUUCCCAAAGGAAAUAUUAAAGAACCUCUGUGUCCAAGUUGGUACCUUGUACGCUCCAGCAAACUUCGUGGUGGUAGAGACUGGUACUGAGGAGAGGGCACCCAUCAUCUUACGGAGGCCAUUCCUAAACACCAGAGCUGUCAUCUACGCUAAUGAUGCCAAGAUCAGUCUCUACAUCAAGGGGAAGAAGGAGACUUUUCUUCAAGAACAAGACUACAUAAACUUCAGAGCAAUCCCGACAUGAACCAAGGAAGAGAACAGGAACAAGCAAAUGUGGACCGAGUCAGCUAAGAUGGUCACUGCAGCUCAAGGAGGUCAAGAUCGUCGACUCAAGUCACCUUUCUUGAUCAAGAAGGACGACCCUGGUGUUCCAAUCAUCGAGUGCACAACCAAUAGAUACUCUUUUUAGAAAACACUCUACGACACCGGAUCUAACGUCAACAUAAUGGCCGCAGUCACUUAUCAGCUCCUGCAUGGAACCAUGCCCCUACAACCAAUAUAUAUUUAGCUCCAGAUGAUUUUCAGAACAUUGAUAUGGGAGAAGACGAGUACGAUCCACCCAUCAUCCUUGGAAGACCAUUCCUCAACACUAUCCAAGUUAUCAUCUACAUUGGAACCGGAGAAGUCCACGUGUAUUUCCCCUCUGAGAAGGUACGCCAUUACUUUAAUGAUUCUAACUAUAUAGUUGAAGAUUCUAAGCAGGUCAGGACAAGAAGAAGACGACGCAACCGCAACCAGAGGAGGCAAAUCAUCAAGGACGGAUGGGCAGACUACGAAGGAAAAGUUGUAAGGUCAGAAGACGUUGAGUUUAAACAGAAUUAUCCAGAGGAGACCGAAGCACCAAGUCAGGUGUGGAAAAUGAAGAUAACUAUACAUGAAGAGGAGGCGCUGCCGGAAGUACCGACUACGCCACCCAACGAACCUCAGGAUAAUUGAGAAGGAGGAGAAUCCCGUUCGGAGGACUUAAAAACACCGAACGCCUUGCCAAGAGGUAAACUUGGUAGUUAUCCUUUCCCUUUCAAUUAUUUCAAGUAGUUCACUUAGUUAAUUAAGUUCUAAAUAGAAAGUAAAAAUGUGAAAAACAGUAAGCCCCAUGUGAGGAUACGAGUGGCAUAAAACCCAUAAGUACAUUCACUGUGGUGGCAUAAAAAUAAAACAAAAAUAUUUUUCUGCUUUAUAAAAUAAAAAUAUAAAAACAGAGAGUAAUAAUUAUUAAGGAGUCUCAACAUGAUAAAGGCUAGAUAUUUAUGCUAACACUUAAUCAGUUCCACAAGCUUUGUUGUCUAUUUGAGCUCCACAGAAUCUAAGAAUCAAGAAGACUGGCAGACGGAGGAUAUUCUAAUCGCUGUCACAAUGCUGCUGACUUUCAAAUACACCUCUGCCACCUGCUAGCUACAUCAAGAGAAAUUACGUCAAAAUUCAGCUUGGGGGAGAGCACCCCAUUUAUCUCGAUAAGUAUUUCUAUCUAUCUAUCUUUAUACUUAUAUUAUUUUAGAAUAUAAAUAUACAUAACUAUGAAAAACCAAAUAAAGAUUUUAUGCUUAUAUAUAUAUGUCUUUUGCUUAGUGUGUUUAAUAAAUAAAUAAAGUGGCUAUACUAAUCUGUAUCUAAAUAAAACUCAAGCAUGGAAAUAUGAAUAGUUGCUCUGCCUAAUUUGCACAUUUUAAGUUCUCUCUCAAGUUUAGACAUAACUGUUAUAAUUUAAAGCUUGCUCUAGACCUAAACUUGAGGGAUGAAAACUUGAUCUGAAAUCUAAGUUGUUAACGGAUACGAUAUGGGAAGGUUGAGCUGCUGUUAAUCUGUUUCUAGAGAUGCUAGAAUUCUGGAGAAUUUUAUCUUUGGAAAUCUUUAAAAUGUUGCAUGAUGAGUUCCUGUAUGAUGAGAGUUUAAAUUCCUACCACAGCCAUAUAUACAUGCUUGCUAGACUUCGAGCCACACAUUUACUUUUUACUACUUAUGAGCAUUGAGUGUGGUCAAGCUGUGUAGACCCUUAGGAGCUUGUCAUGUGGUUAAAUCAAGAUUCACUUGCACGUUCACUCACACAUGCUACUUCUACUCCGGAAGUACCAUCCACAUAUAUCCAUACAUUUCCAUCUUCAGAAUCACCCAAAAAUAUUCUACUCCUAAUCCGGGAGAGAAUAGCCAAAAAUAAUUUUGUUCUUCCUUGUGUAAUAAAUGCCUCAAGAUCAAUAAAGAGUAUUAUUAUUAUGUCUUGUGUGUCUCUACUUUAUUUUUGUGCAAGAAAGCAGAAAACAAGUAUGGGGGAGAUCCCUCGACAUGCUAAACACACUCCGACUACACCACUCCACGAUUCAGGUACACACUCUGCACAUUUUACUCUACACAUAUAUAUAUUUUAGAUUAUGCAGAAUAUUGUUCCCGACAUGAUAAAAUAAAAAGAUUAAAAUAUUUCUAAUCAUGAUUAAUCUCAAUCUGUGAUAUUUCCUGAAAACUUGCAAUUAGUAUAAAAUCAUUUUUUAAAAACCCUGUGUUACUUAAGUCAAGAUGGAAUAUGUGAUGGUAGAGUAUGAGUUUCUUAUUCUUGAUAUCAUUGUUGCUUGGAGAAUUUAUUUCAAAAUGUUCAAAUUCCUAGCUACCAUCCUCAGUGUUUUAUAUGCCUGAUAAAACUGAAAUAUUAAAUAUGAUUAUAAAAGCUAUCUGCUCUGUAUUGAGUUUGUUCAAAAUGAGUUAGACCCUUGUUGAGAGAUUUAUCAUGCUCUUAAGAUCCAGACAUUAUUUCACUAAGAUUCACUCUUCCGAAGUAUUAUUGCAUUAGAGGCAUGGGCUAUGCAAAAAUAGAAGAUAUUUCGAGGAAAUAAAAAGGAACAAGUGCUCGACAACCUCGCAGAAAAAAUGGACAAGUGUCCGGAAGUAGAAUUAGGGGUACCUCGGUACCCACUUAAAAAAAAAGAAAAAGAAAAAAAAUGACAGCCCAUGGUCCCUCUAAUAAGCAAUAUGCCAGCAAGAGUUGACAAAGUUUUUAAUUUCCAAAGUCUUUGAUCUAAGAGUAUGACAUUUCCCUCCUCGGAUCCCGUUUUGAUCAGGCAAUAAAUGCAAAGUAAGUAUGCUUGAGAAUUCUUGCAAAAUUAAAACAACCUCAGUGAGAUAUAUAUAAAAGAUAAUGAGUGAUCCGAGAGAACCUAUGAGGAUCAAAAGGUAUGCUAACUUUCUUUCAAAAAUAUACAAAAACUCCAAGUGACAGGAUUGAGAAGAAAGGAUCUUUACUCUUAAUCAUAUACAUCCCUGACUAUGGUACACAGUGGAAUUUUAACACCCUGCAAUUAUAAAGAGAAUGUUUUAAAUGUUUACCCCAGAUAUUUUUCUUAACCAUCCUUUUCUCGAGGACGAGUAAAAGCCUAAGUAUGGGGGUAUUUGUUGACGGUUCUUAAGUAUCAAUUUUAAUUAUCAAAUAAACAAGAGAAAGGACCAAUAUGCAACCAUCACCUAGAAUUAGGGUUUGAUCUCACAGAAUUCCACGAGUUUUGUUGUUUAUCUGUUUCUGUAGGGGGUUAUCAGGAAAUAAGGAAGAAAGGCCCACAUGUCAGGAUUACAUAGAGAUAUCAACGCACCGCGUAAUUUUACAUCAUCUAGAAGACUCCAGAAGCCACGAGAUCGAAGCGGAGGCAAAACUGGGCCAGGCCCAGGGCGCCCGCCCUGGUAGCCUGGGCGCCCGCCCCCCUGUUGGAGCCAAUUCAGGACUCCUUCGCUCGGGAUAUUCCACCGACCUAUUGGAUCAAGAAAAACAUAGUACCACCUCGCCUAUCGACCCAAAAACGCAUAGAAGGGGAGGACUAUAUAAGCAAGGCCCCCCUGGCCCCUGGAAGACAUGAAGAAAUUAUCAUAGAGACUGAGGGGUGCCCUCGAAGGAAAACCUCUUCUCUAAUUAAUAUUUCUUUUUAGGCUUAGCAAUCAAUGUAAGGUAGAAAUAGAUCUUCUAGUUUCUACUAGAUUGAGAGAGAUAGAGUGGAGGUGUAGAGUGGAGGAAGCCCGGCCUGUCGGUGUCUACUCCAAGCUUGUACCUGCGGGAUCAAGUUCUCCUAACCCGAAGCUUGCUCCUCGGAUUCUUCAGUAAUUCGACUCCUAAAUUCUAGUAAGUUCUUGUUUUAUUGUUCUUAUGGUUUAUGAGUUUACUUUAAUCUCUUCGCGUAGAGUUUAGAGUAAUCAUUGCUGGCGUAAACGUGGUGUUUAGGCUGGGGUACUCAUAGAUAUUCCCUGACUAGCUGGACCGUGGUAGUAGUGAGGAACGUGACAUUUCCGAGCUACCUUUGUAGAUCACAUCUCGUUAGCAGGAAGGAUAGGGUUUAUAGGUGCGGGUUGAACAUCCUUUGUGGUGUCUAGAUUCCGUUAGCCUCCCCAUUAGAACAGUAGAUCAUCCUUACCAAGGUUAGAAGGAGACUACGGUUGCAGUCUUCUCUAUUUAUCACUCACAUCGAAAGACAUUCUUUGUGCCUAAAGGGAUAAUAGCAAUAGAUUUGGUUAGUCAGAUGCACCCUUUCUCCCAGUGGUAAAAAUAUAAAUACGAUACUCUGGAAAACCUCCCGGGUGAAAUGCUCACCGAUUUCCGUGCGCUUGCGGAUCAUUUCCUUAUUGCGUUACCAAAUAUCAACAGCUACUAACCAUGUUGCUAAGCUUGAUGUAACCACAUCUUGUGAUGAUUUACUUGUGGAGAGCACUGUAACAGAACCACCCAAAUUAUAAGAGAUUAAGCCUAAUAGCGACCAUUUGCAUAGUCAAACCAUCGAGCUUAAGCCCAUAUAAUCCCGGUAGUCCGUGAAAUCUCGAAGGAUUUCAAACCACAUAUCAUACAUACAGCCAAGAUCGUAAUAUGUUCAGCGGUCACCAUUCACAGUUACAUCCAGUUCGAAACCAUUCAUCGAAAACAUCGGAGUGCUUAAAAGUUAUUACAAACCAUGUUCACAGAUAGCGGAAGUUUCAUAGUUGAAAAUAACACACACACAGUCUGAUACAGUGCCUUAGUUUUGGUCAUUCCCACAAAAGUAAAAGAAGAGAUGGAGUGACAAUCUCCCUUGGUCUAGUCAUCCCCCAUAGCUGGGUACAGGCAGAGGAUGCAAUAACCAUAGUACAUUUGACCAUCUGCAAAACAACAUGGGAGUAGAACCCUGAGUACGAGAAUGUACUCAGCUAGACUUACCCGUCAUAAAUUAAAAUAGAGACUCUUCAAGGAUCAUGAAGGCUAUAUAGUGGGGUAGCUGACGACCAUUUUGCAACAGAGCACGAUUCUAUUAACAUAUCCUAAGGAAAUUCCUUCUUCUUUUAAUUUGCUCAAGUUGAAAGUAUCAUUACCUAUUAACUAGGUUUGCACCUGCACUAUUACAAGCAAGUAUAGUGAUAUGAGGGUACCUCAUCAUAGCAUUCAUGCAACCAUUCAUCAUUAUAACCCAAGUGUUCCAUAGUUCUUACUACGAGGACAGGGCUCAUGUCAAGUGCUCACUAUCUAGGUUCCAUAGUUCUCUUGAACAAGGAUUUCUGGUGCCGUUGCCGGGGAGAAAGACGGUUUGCUGAGAUAACUUUGAGUCUUGCUAUUAUCUUGUAUUAUACUUUUAUACUUUUAUUCUUUUAUCUUUUUAUUUUUAUCUUUAUGGAUAACUCAAAUUCCAUACCUAUUAUUAAAUUCUUUGCACCUUCGGAGACCAGCCAUAGACCAUGGGAGUCAACACGUCCUGCCCCUAAUUAUGAUCUGUGUCCGGAGUUGAUUGCAAUAGGUCAAAACGAACCCUUUUCUAUAGCCGAGGUCCUAUCUUUUAAUCAAGAAGAUAAUGCACUUUUAGCUACACCUAGGGAAUCUUUUAAUCUUUCUAUAAAUUCUAGUUUAGACCUAGCCCUACAAGACCAUGUUUUUCCUAGAUAUUUUCACAUUAGUCUUAAUCAUAUAACAUUUGGUAGAGUCCUUCUUUCUUUAUCUAUUAGUAAAGGAAGGUAUGUCUUCAUUCGUGGACAUCCUUCUUGUACUAGUCUUCAUAGAAAAAUCUUAGAGAUAGAGAAGGAAUCAUCUCCCAGACGAGGAAAGGAAGUUUCAAUAGCCGAUUUCCAAACAUUCCAAUCCCAUGAUUCGGCUAUCCAACCCAUCCUUGAACUUAAUAAUUUCUACUAUGCUCUUUCUCUUGAACCUCCCGAUGAUCCUAUGAAUCUAUCUAGACAGCCCAUGCAUAAAAGUCACCAAGACCGCAAGGAGGAUCGAGAAGAGCAACAUCAAUGGCUAAAGGGCAUUAAAAAUCCAUGUGCUAUCACCAUUGAAUGGAUAGAUAAAACAAACUUGAGAGACAAUCCUAGAGGAAGUUUAAUCAUUCAUGAAGAAUCAUCCUUGGAGUCUGAGAAUGAGAGAAACAACAGUGAGCAUGGAAGUUAUUUCAUAAAUACCUCACCCAGUCCUUGCUCAUAUAAAACAUCUCUCCAAUCAAUUUGUCUCUCCAUCCUUAUCACAUUUGAGAUCUCCAACACCCUCUUCCUUUCUAUUUAUAAAAACUUUAAAAGGGCGGUUGUCGAUGCAUAUGUCUAUAAUAAAUAUUGCAGAUCUCGGUGAGUUAAUUGAUGGUUCCCCAAGGACAAGCUUAGUGUCCUAAAACAAGCACUUCUAAUUAUUUGCAACAUUGUCUUGUGUAUAUUGAGAUAAUUGUAGAAAUAUUCCUUCGGGUAUUCUUGCCACUAACCUUUCUAGGAUUGGAGCAAGAAGAUCGGAUGAAUGACAAGCGCAAGGUAUGCCCAACCAAUCAUCAUGCAACAUUAAUUUAAAUUCAUCCAAUCUUGAAUUUUGCAAAAUUCAAGCUUGGGGGAGUACUUUACAUAAAACAUCCUUUGCCAUGUUGCUAUGUUGGUUGUCCUUACCUUUGAGACAUGCUCAAUUUGUUAAAUACUAAUCACACUACUUCAUCUCCACUUGAGUAGAUCUCUAUAAAAGCCAUCAUGCUACCUUUGUUUAUCCUAGUAAGUGUUAGUUUGGAAGUACUGGUCACACUUCCAAUGGCAUUUAAAUUAAGCGUGGUGCUUAGGUUAAAUAGCCUUCCUUAAUCUGAUUAGGCAUGGAGUCUAGUUUGGUUACUGAACUAAAAACUGCUUGAGUAGAUAUUGGUAUAUUUUGUUGGACUAACCCCUGUAGGAAAACUUUCAAUAACAACCUGGGAAGUCCUGAGAUGCAAACUCAUUAGAGAUGAAGAAAGUGACACAUGAAGUUUAACAAUUUGCACAAGAAAGACGUAGCUCACAAGAGAUGAUUCAUGGAGGGUGCCACAAACACGAUGCACAACCGCUAAGAAAGGAAAGCUUCCACAAGGUGAUACUGUACCAUCACUCUUCAAGUAAGGUAACAUCUUAAGGUACUUGACUAACACUUUUAUAAGCUCCUCCUUGGUUCUGGCAUUCACAUAAAUAAAGAGACAAACAUGUAUGAUUUAUAACUCCAAAUUAACCAACUCAAUUAAUUCAACAUGUUUAGUCCUUUAAUCUUUGUUCUUAGUACUACCUUCGUGACCCCACACUCCUAAUCAUAUAAGCUAAAGUAUUGCACAUUCAAUCUUUGGAAGAUAUAAACAAAACAUAAAUAUAGAUAGAUUAUCUUUCCAUUAGGCUGAGCCAUCUGAUCUGACAAAUGCUACACUCAUGAUCCAUCAACUUUGUCUUGCUCACUAUGCUUAAGGUUAGAGAAGAACAAAUACACUUUUGGUUCUGUUGGUGUUUUCCACCAACAGGGCCCAUGCACUUGAUCUCUACCUUGUCUCUAUGAGCAGGAACACUUCGAGCAUAAUAUGAAGGAGUUUUACAACUCCUAGAUUCCACCAAGUGAAGAACUAGGAUCUACGAGCACAAAUAUACUGGAGAUACUGGACGCUCAGGCAAUCACUGCCCUAAGAUGCUUGAGGACGUGAACUACAUCAACAACAAUAACAACUAUUACUACAACCGUCCUCAACAACAUCAAGGUUGGAAUCAACAAAGGCCUAAUUACUCAGAGAGGUGAUCUAGGACGCCCCGUCAUCCCGAUCUCUAUCGGCCUGGUGGACUUCCCAGAAGCACUCUGUGACUUUGGCUCCAGCGUCAACAUUAUGCCCAGGGUUGCAGAUCGGACACUCAGUUUCCCAAAGGAAAUAUUGAAGAACCUCUGCGCCCGAGUUGGUACCUUGUAUGCUCUAGCAGACUUCAUGGUGAUAGAGACUGGUACUGAGGAGAGGGCACCCAUCAUCUUAGGGAGGCCAUUCCUAAACACUAGAGCUGUCAUCUACGCUAAUGCUGCCAAGAUCAGUCUCUACAUCAAGGGGAAGAAGGAGACUUUCCUUCAAGAACAAGACUACACAAACUUCAGAGCAACCCCGACAUCAACCAAGGAAGAGGACCAACAGGAGGAACAGGAACAAGGAAAUGUGGACCGAGUCAGCUAAGAUGGUCACUGCAGUUCAAGGAGGUCAAGAUCGUCGACUCAAGUCACCUUUCUUGAUCAAGAAGGACGACCCUGGUGUUCUAAGCAUUGAGUGCACAAUCAACAGAUACUCUUUUCAGAAGACACUCUACGACACCGGAUCUGACGUCAACAUAAUGGUCGUAGUCACUUAUCAGCUCCUGCAUGAAACCAUGCCCCUACAACCAAUAUACAUUCAGCUAUAGAUGACUUUCAAGUUGUUGACUUGGGAGAAGAUGAAUAUGAUCCACCCACCAUCCUUGGAAGACAGUUCCUCAGCACUAUCAAAGCCAUCAUCUAUAUUGGAACCAGAGAAGUCCACAUACACUUCUCCUCUGCGAAGGUAUGCCGCUGUUUUACUGACCCUAACUAUAUAGUUGAAGACUCUAAGCAGGUCAGGACAAGAAGAAGAUAUCACAACUGCAACCAGAUGAGGCAAAUCAUCAAGGACGGAUGGGUAGACUACGAAGGAGAAGUGAUAAGGACUGAAGACAUACCACUUGAACAUAACUGUCCUGAGGAGACCAUAGCACCAAGUCAGGUGUGGAGAGAGAAUAUAGUUACACACGAAGAGGAGGCGCCACCGGAAUCACCGACUACGUCAUCCAGCGAAUCCCAGGACGAUUAAGAAAAUGGAGAGUCCCGCUCGGAGGACUUAAAAACACCGAACGCCUUGCCAAGAGGUAAAAUUGGUAGUUAUCCUUUCCCUUUUAAUUAUUUCAAAUAGUUUACUUAGUUAAUCAUGUUCGUAUUAUCCUAGAAAGAAAAUAAAAAUGUGAAAAAAACUGUAAGCCCCAUGUGAGUAGACAAGUGGCAUAAAACCCAUAAGUACAUUUACUGUGGUGGCAUAAAAUUAAAAUAAAUAUUUUUCUGCUUUAUAAAAACAAAAAUAUAAAAACAGGUAGUAAUAUUUAUUUAGGAGUCUCAACAUGAUAAAGGCUAGAUAUUUAUGCUAACACUUAAUCAGUUCCACAAGCUUUGUUGUCUAUUUGAGCUCCACAGAAUUUAAGAAUCAAGAAGACUAGCAAACGGAGGACAUUCUAAUCGCUGUCAAAAUACUGCUGACUUUCAAACACACCUCUGCCACCUCCUAGCUACAUCAAGAGAAAUUACGUCAAAAUUCAGCUUGGGGGAGAGCACCCCCAUUUAUCUCGAUAAGUAUUUCUAUCUAUCUUUAUACUUAUACUAUAUUAGAAUAUAAAUACACAUAACUAUGAAAAACCAAAUAAAGAUUUUAUGCUUAUAUAUAUUGCUUAGUGUGUUUAAUAAAUAAAUAAAGUGGCUAUGCUAAUCUGUAUUUAAUAAAACUUAAGCAUAGAUAUGAUGAAUAGUUGCUCUGCCUAAUUUGCAAAUUUGAAGUUCUCUCUCAAGUUUAGAUAUAACUGUUAUAAUUUAAGGCUUGCUCUAGACCUAAACUUGUGGGAUGAAAACUUGAUCUGAAGUCUAAGUUGUUAACGGAUACGAUAUGGGAAGGUUGAGCUACUGUUUAUCUGUUCCUAGAGAUGCUAGAAUUCUGGAGAAUUUUAUCUUUGAAAAUCUUUAAAAUGUUGCAUGAUGAGUUCCUGUAUGAUGAGAGUUUAAAAUCCUACCACAGCCAUAUAUACAUGCUUAUUAGACUUUGAGCCACACAUUUACUUUUUACUGCUUAUGAGCAUUGAGUGUGGUCAAGCUGUGUAGACCCUUAGGAGCUUGUCAUGUGGUUAAAUCAAGAUUCACUUGCACGUUCACUCAUACAUGCUACUUCUACUCUAGAAGUACGCAUCCACAUACAUCCACUCAUUUCCAUCUCCAAAACCACCCAAAAGUAUUCUACUCCUAAUCCGGGAGAGAAUAACCAAAAAUAUUUCUGUUCUCCCUUGUGAAAUAAAUGCUCAAGUUAUCUUGUUACUACCACUUGCUAUAUUAUCUCAAGAGAUGAAUGCUCUAAAAAAAAGAGAGAGAAAGAAAAUAAAAGAUACGAGGAAAUAAAAAGGAGCAAGUGCUCGGAACCUCGAAAGAAAAGAAAAAGAAGAGCAUCUCAUUCUCCUCAUAAAGUUUCAAAAGCAAGGAAGGUAUGUAACCCCUCAAAGAGCAAAGUAGAAUUAGGCUUCCACCACCAUUGUUAUCACCAUCAUCAACAUACACCAUUCAUUCGCCACACAUGCACAUCUUGAUUUGGCUUAUUGAUUUGUUUCUUUGGAUCCAUGGUUUGACUAUGCAAUAAAUGUCUUGUAAGUAUUUAUACUUUAUCUCCCUCCUAUGAGCUUCAGAUAUUAAAGCCUUAUUAGAGUAGGGUGAGAGAGAAGACAAUGUCACUAUGCUUCAUACCACAAAUACUACAUAUCUUGUGAGAAGACAUAUACCAUCACUGCCUUGGUAAGGAUCCAGAAAUACCACAAAAGAGAGACCUGAGAGAAUCAUACAAGGAAUUUCUGAGUUUUAUUUGAAAAUCUGCAAAAAAACCCAGAGCUAUAGCUGAUCAAGAAUAAGAGACAUGGCACUUGGCUAGACUGUUCUAUCUUUUAACCACUCAAGACAGAAGUGACGGUUACAAGUCCUAUGGUGUAGGUAAAGUAAGUAAGUUUUAAGUCUUAACAGUUUAUUCUAACUCAGAGAUGAGAUCUUGCUUAAAUGCGUGUGUACUUCUAAGAAAUGAAACCACUGCAGAAACUCUUGUGUUCAUCCUUGCUCAGGGACGAGCAAGAGGUAAGCUUGGGGGAGUUUGUUGACGGUCCUUAAGUAUCAAAUUUAAUUAUCAAAUAAACAAAGAAAAGGAUCCAAAUGAAAUCAACAUCUAGACUUAGGGUUUUAUCUCACAGAAUUCCACGAGUUUUGGUGUUUGUCUAUUUCUGCAGGGGGUUAUCAGGAAAUAAGGAAGAAAGGCCCACAUGUCGGGAUUACAUAGAGAUAUCAACCCACCGCGCAAUUUUCUACCAUCUAGAAGACUCCAGAAGCCACGGGAAGGAAGCGGAGCCCGAAAGGGGCCAGGCCCAGGGCGCCCGCCCUGAGGACCUGGGCGCCCGCCCACCUCUGGACUCCGUUCCGGACUCUCUUCGCACACGACGUUCCACCGACCUAUUGGAUCCAGAAUAACAUAGUACCACCUCGCCUAUCGACCCAAAAACGCAUAGAAGGGGAGGACUAUAUAAGGAGACCCCCUCUGGCCCCUGGAGAAGACAAGAAAUUAUCAUAGAGAUUGAGGGGUGCCCUCGAAGGAAAACUUCUUCUCUAAAUAAUAUUUCUUUUUAGGCUUAGCAACCAAUGUAAGUAGAAAUAGAUCUUCUAGUUUCUACUAGAUUGAGAGAGAUAGAGUGGAGGUGUAGAUCGGAGGAAGGCCAGCCUGUCGGUGUCUACUCCGAGUUGUACCUGCGGGAUCAAGUCUCCUAACCCGAGGCUUGCUUCUAAGAUUCUUCAGUAAUUCGACUUCUAAUACUAGUAAGUUCUUGUUUUAUUGCUCUUUGGUUUAUGAGUUUACUUUAAUCCUCUUCCGGUUGAGUAUUAGAGUAAUCACUUGCUAGCGUAAACGUGGUGUUUAGGCUAGGGUACUCAUAGAUAUCCCCUGACUAGCUGGACCGUGGUAGUAGCGAGGAACGUGACAAUUCCGAGUUACCUUUGCAGAUCACAUCUCGUUAGCAGGACGGGUAGGUUUAUAGGUGCGGGUCGAACAUCCUUUGUGUUGUCUAGAUUCCGUGAGCCUCCCUAAUAGAACAGUAGAUCAUCCUUACCAAGGUUAGAACGAGACUACGGUUGCAGUCUUCUCUAUACAUCACUCACAUUGAAAGACAUUCUUUGUGCCUAAAGGGAUAGUAGCAAUAAAUUUGGUUAGUCAGAUGCACCCUUUCUCCCAGUGGUAAAAAUAUAAAUACGAUAACUCUGGAUAACCUCCCGGGUGAAAUGCUCACCGAUAUCCGUGCGCUUGCGGAUCAUUUUCUAAUUGCGUUACCAAAUAUCAACAGGGGACUUUCCUCUCUAGUAUUUGAUACGGUCCCACAUAUCUAGGUGCAAGCUUGCUUCGAACUCGGAAACGUUGGACUUCCUUCAUUGGUGUAACCUUGAGAUACACGUAGUCACCUAUAUUGAAUUCAAGUGGCCUUCUUCUCUUAUCAGCGUAACUCUUUUGUCGCGAUUGUGCCGUCUGCAUAUGCUGCUAUAUGAUUUGCACCUUUUUCCCAGCUUCGUUCACGAAGUCGAUACCAUAGUAUCUUCUUUCACCACGUUCAACCCAGUUUAAUGGAGUUCUACAUCUGCGAUCAUACAACGCUUCGAACGGGGCCAUUUUGAUACUCUCUUGAUAGCUAUUAUUGUAUGAGAAUUCAGCCAGAGGUAACCAUGAUUCCCAUGAUCCCUUGGACGAUAGCACAUAGGCCCUCAGCAUAUCUUCUAAUACUUGAUUUAGCCUUUCAGUUUGACCUGAGGUCUGGGGAUGGUACGCGGUGCUUCUUAUUAGACUGGUCCCCAAACUCUUAUGCAUUCGCUCCCAAAAUUGAUCGGUGAACUGUGGUCCUCUAUCUGAUAUGAUGGUUUUGGGAAUGCCAUGCAACUUGACAAUCUCUGCUAUAUAGAUAUCAGCAUACUCAGGAGGUCGGUAACGAGUUUUCACAGGAAUGAAAUGAGCCGACUUAGUCAAUCGAUCUAUGAUUACCCAAAUCGAGUCAUACCCCUUCCUCGUCGUUGGUAAACCUGUUAUAAAGUCCAUACUGACCUCUUCCCAUUUUCACUCUGGAACUGAUAACGGUUGUAACAGACCUGCAGGUUUCAUAUGUAUAGCCUUGACUCUGCAACACGUGUCACAACGGGCCACAUAUGCCGCUAUCUCUUUCUUCAUCUCAGUCCACCAAAAGUGGGGUCUUAGGUCUUGAUACAUUUUACUACUGCCCGGUGGAAUAGAAAGCUUCAAGAAAUGGGCUUCAUCCAUGAUGCGAUUCUUCAAUUCUCGAUUUUUCGGAACUACUAACCGAUGUUGAAACCACAAUACCCCUUUCUCAUCAACUCGAAACUGAGUUUUUGGGUCAUCUUUGAUCUUUUCCUUGAUGUGGAAAAUACCCUUGUCUGUUUUCUGACGGACUUGACUCUCAAGUGAACAACUGAGCUGUAUGUGACAUAAGACUUCAGGAUGCAUGAGAUUGAAACCAUCUUCAAACCACGGUUGAACCACUUGAUAGUGCGGUUUGCGACUCAAUGCAUCUGCUACCACAUUAGCCUUGCCUAGAUGAUAGUGAACCUCCAGAUCAUAAUCCUUGAUCAACUCUAACCAUCAUCGUUGCCUCAUAUUCAGCUCGGACUGAGUGAAGAUAUACUUCAAACUCUUAUGAUCGGUAUAGAAAUGACACUUAUUUCCCAGCUAAUAGUGUCUCCAGAUCUUCAAAGCGUGCACUACUGCUGCUAACUCGAGGUCGUGAGUUGGGUAGUUGACUUCAUGCUUUCUCAACUGUCGUGAAGCAUAAGCUAUCACUCUGCCAUCUUGCAUCAACACAGACCCCAAGCCACUUUUCGACGCGUCGCAAAAGACAUCAAAAGGCUUCUCGAUAUUGGGUUGCGCCAGAACGGGAGUGGUGGUUAGUAACUUUUGCAAGGUGUGGAAGGCUAGCUCACACCCCUCCGUCCAGACAAACUUAUGAUCUUUUUGUAGCAAACUAGUCAUUGGCUUAGCAAUCUUGGAGAAGUCAGGUAUGAAAUGACGAUAAUACCCGGCCAGACCAAGAAAACUUCUAACUUCCGAGACAGAAGUUCGUGCCUUCCAGUCCAUGACUUCCUGCACUUUUUACGGAUCCACAGCAAUCCCUUCUUCAGACAGAAUGUGCCCUAGGAAAGGAACUUUCUUCAACCAGAACUCACACUUGCUGAACUUGGCAUAUAACUGAUGCUCUCGUAAUCAUGUUAACACGAUUCUCAGAUGCUCGGCGUGAUCUUGCUCAUUUUCUGAAUAAACCAGGAUAUCAUCGAUAAACACCACAACAAACUUAUCUAACUCUGGCAUAAAGACUGAAUUCAUCAGAUACAUGAAGUAUGUAGGAGCAUUCGUCAACCCAAAGGACAUGACUAGAUACUCAUACAAUCCAUAUCUGGUGGAAAAAGCAGUCUUUGGGAUAUCUUACGGGCGAAUCUUGAUUUGGUGAUACCUAGAUCUCAAAUCUAUCUUGGAAAACACUUUUGCCUUGGAGAACUGAUCAAAUAAGAUAUCGAUCCUUGGCAAAGGAUACUUAUUCUUGAUUGUCACUGCAUUUAGUGGACGAUAGUCCACGCACAUGCGCAGCGAUUGAUCCUUCUUUUUCACAAACAACGCCGGACAACCCCAUUCCGAUGAACUUGGCCGGAUGAACCCUUUAUCCAGUAACUCCUUUAGUUGAUUCUUCAACUCAGCGAGUUUGUUUGGUGGCAUCCGGUACGGCCUUCAAGAUAUUGGUGCUGUACCUGGUAUCAACUCGAUUGCAAACUCUACUUCCCUAUCUGGAGGAAGUCCCGGUAAUUCCUUAGGAAAAACAUCAGGGAACUCACAGACUACUGGGAUCUGUGGUAAUGGAACCACGUGCGUAGCACAAGAGAUGCUAGCAAAGUCAAAGCGACGGGGCAGAGGUACUUGAAAAGAGCUACUGCCCUGGGGUUCUCUGAGAGAUAACAUCCUCUACCCAGUAUCUAUGACAGCAUCCCAUUCCCGCAUCCAGUUCAUGCCCAUGAUAACAUCCAAAACUAACCCAGGCAUGACCACUAAAUUCACUCGAAACACCCGGCCACUUAUAUCCAGGGUUGCCCCUCGGACCACUCUAUUUGUUAAUACAUCUGCCCCUGCUGAGCUGAUACGAUAGCCAUAACCCAGAUCUGUAACUAGUUGAUCAUGCUUUUGUGCAAAUGCUUGGCUCAUGAAUGAAUGCGAUGAUCCUGAAUCAAACAAAACAACUGCAAGAUGUUGGUUGACAGGGAACAUACCAGCUGUGACCGGUUCUCCUUCUAGGAUCUCCUCGAUCGAGGUAUGAUGCACACGAGCUGGAUAAGUUGGCUGUUGCCUCUUGGGGUAGGGACAUUCUUUAGCAAAGUGCCCCAUCUUGUGGCAGUUGUAGCACGGACCCUUGGUCGCAUUGUUGGCAGCAGGUGCCGCAGCUUGAAUUGCCUUUGGCUUGGUAGGAGCUGUCGCCACCUUAUACGGCUUCUGCUGCGUUGGAUGCCCGGUGUUCCUUCUCUGCGGUGGUCGAAACCUAGCACCUGGGGCAGGAGGACGAUACUGCUGUCGCCCUGCCACUGGUGCCCUGGACUGAGACGACCCGGUUCAAAAGCCCUCUUACGUGACUUGGAUGCACUAUAGUUGUUGUUAUUGUUUUCCUGGGUCAAACAGUCACUGAUAUAAGCAUUGAAGGUAGCCCUAGCUCCUGUACCCAUGGUCUUCAGCAUCUUUGGAUACAAGCCUCUCUGGAAACUAGUAAUCUUCUUGGCCUCUGUGUUCACAAACUCAGGGGCGUAGCGAGCGAGAUUGUUGAAAGCGUGUAGGUACUCCUUUACAGACUUCAUUCCCUGAGACAGCCUCAUGAAUUCCCUGUUGACGGUCCUUAAGUAUCAAAUUUAAUUAACAAAUAAACAAAGAAAAGGAUCCAAAUGAAAUAAAGAUCUAGACUUAGGGUUUUAUCUGACAGAAUUCCAAGAGUUUUGGUGUUUGUCUAUUUCUGCAGGGGGUUAUCAGUAAAUAUGGAAGAAAGGCCUACAUGUCAGGAUUACGUAAAGAUAUUAACGUGCUGCGCAAUUAUCUUACAUCUAGAAGACUCCAGAAGCCAAGAGACCGAAGCGGAGGCAAAACGAGGCCAGACCCUGGGCGGCCGCCCAGUUGGUCAGGGCGCCCGCCCUGCCCCUGAGUCCAAUCAGGACUCUGCUUUGCGGGAAGUCUCCACCGACCUAAAGGAUGAAUCUAAAUCAUACAAUCUAUGUCGGUUUGAUCCAAGGGCCCAUAUUCACUUGAAGGGACUAUAAAACCAGACCCCCUGGCCCCUGGAGGAGGGAGCCUCUCAACCCUAAUUCAUUGUUCCAUCAAGGGAGAAGAAGCCUCUGAUCAAGAUUAGAGCCACCACAUCAAUUAGAUAUCUAGAUUAGCAUAGCUACAUAGGAUUAGAACUAGAAGGAGUCAAUCUUCGAUUGGUUUCCGGAUCUGUCAGGAGGAUUCUUGGUAAUUCUCUAAUUGUGCUUCUAAUUGCUUUCUAAUUAUCUUUGUUCUUCAAUAUUAUGAAUAUGACUUUGUUCUACUUCAAUAUAUUGCUUAUGACUUUGCUCUACUUGCUUAUAUUCAAGAUUAUAUUGUUCUUAGUUUAUCAUAGUUAUGUACUUGGCUUAGUUAGAUACGAUCUAUAUACAUGCUUAGGAUCGUAUAGCGUUUAUCCAUCGGAUCCAUGGGUAAAUGAUAGAUAUUGUGUAGGCGUGGUGCUUAUACCGUAUUUAUCUGCGAUUGUACCCAAUAUGCCAGAUCAUGGGGUAGUUCGUGAUAGUGACAGCUUCAUUGAUUCUUAUAUAGUCCCCCUCUCGUGUAUUGGGCUGGCAGAGCAACAUUAUUACAGGGGAGUGAUUGCUAUGUUUCUCAUAUUCCUUGCUAAUAUCACUAUGCAUGGGCGUAGUCUUGUCUCGCAAUGAUUACUAAGUAUGCUUGCACUAACUAUGAUAUGCUAGACUAUAUAGUUGAGAAUAACUUAGGGAAUAUUCUUGUAGUUCGUUCUAAUACCAUGCUAAUGACUUUCUAGAGUAUCUAAUUGAGGUGCUUAUCAUAUUUAUUAUGUGGCUAGAUCAGAUUAGUUAUCCUUGUCACUAUUAUUAUUUCAUAUAUCUUUUAUGUGACACCUGUAUGAAGAGUUAGAUAUAAUGUUCUCAAUUAUACAUGCAAUGAUAGAUGCUCAAUCUCAUAUUCUAUUCUGUAAUCAUUAGUGAUGAUUUUUAAUCCCUUCCCAGUGGUAAAAAUAUAAAUAACGAUACCUGGAAUACUUCCCGGUUAAAAUGCUACAUCGGUAUUAAUCUGUGCGCUUGCAGAUCCCAUUCAUUAUUUAUUUAGAAGAGCAAUUGCAUAUUUCAAUACCGCGUCUCUUAUAUCAUGCUAGGGAUGACAACUUGGCUUAAGUGGUGUAAGGGAUAGGUUUGGCAUUUUUGGCACCGUUGCUAGAUUUAGAACUUAGCCUACUUUUAGUAAUGAUGUUAAGAAUACCCAACAAGCAUUUUUGGCGCCGUUGCCGGGGAAGGUUGAUUACUAAUCAGGAAUGGAAUAAAAGAUUUUGAGUUAUCAUUCGCAUCACUAAUAUGAUUGAGCUUAUCUAUUCUCUCAUACAGUUUUACCCCGAUAUUUUUCUAUUUUAUCUUAUGCAGGGGAAUGUAUGAAUAGAAGACAUCUUACAGGAAAUUUUGUUGAUGAUCCUGAAGCAUUAUUCAAGAAGACGAGAGCCAAGCUAAAGAAAUCAUCAACACUUCACGAAGAAGCUUCAUCCAAUCAAGAAGAUCACCGGAACUUGUCUUCAGAGUUCGAAGCCAUGGCGAACAAAUCAAUCCGCGAGUUCUCAGCUCCCACUACGGACAACAUCCGCACUGGACCUGCUGCAGAGAUCGAUGGCAACUUUGAGCUCAAGUCUGGACUUAUCAACAUGGUGCAAUCCAACCAGUUCUGUGGGAAGGCACACGAAGAUGCUAGUGCUCAUUUACAACACUUCCUGGAGAUUUGCAACACAUUCACCAUAGCAGGAGUUUCCAAAGACGCUAUACUACUUCGCCUCUUCCCAUUUUCACUGUUAGGAAGAGCGAAGCAGUGGUUCUACGCUACAAAGGAGAAGAAUACUACGUGGGCACUCUGCUCAACAAACUUCCUGGCAAAGUUUUUUCCCAUGGGCAAGACCAAUGCUCUUCAUGGGAAGAUUACAAGUUUUCAGCAACAAAAUGAUGAAUCUGUUCCAGAAGCAUGGGAGCGCUUUCAAGACUACAUCCUAGAAUGUCCCCAUCAUGGAAUGGAGAGUUGGCUAUUGAUGCAGACAUUCUAUCAUGGGCUCAGCAACAGUGCCCGAGAGACUAUGGAUGCUGCAGCUGGAGGAGCAUUCUUAUCACUUACUAUAUCACAAGCCACAGCUCUUGUGGAGAAGAUGGCGUCCAAUCAAAGCUGGAAUGAAGAGAGGACCCAGACACGCAAGAGAGGUGGAGGUAUGCAUCAACUGAAAGAGGUAGACAUGCUGUCUGCAAAGCUAGACCUGCUCAUGAAGAAGCUCGACGAUAGAGCUGGAGACAAGAAAGAAGUUAUGCACAUCUACGACUCUCACAUGACUUGUGAGGAGUGUGGAGACACUGGACACUCAGGCAACCACUGCCCUGAGAUACUUGAGGAUGUAAACUACAUCAACAACAACAACAACAACAACUACAACCGUCCUCAACAAAAUCAAGGUUGGAAUCAACAGAGGCCUAACUGCUCAGGUAAUUAUCAAGGUAACAAUUCUUACAACAAUAAUUCUAAUAAUUUUCCACCUUUGAGAGAGUUAGUGUCUAAUCAAGGAAAGCUAAUGGAUAACCUAUCUAAGAAAUUGGCAUCUAAUGAUAAAAUGCUAGAAAAUAUAAACAAUAGAAUGGAUAAUUUUUCUACUGCCAUCAAGAAUCAAAUUAGCUUUAAUAAAAUGAUUGAAUCUCAGUUAAAUCAAAUAGCUGCUGCUGUUCCUACUACUAACCCCGGUAUACCAUCACAACCGGAAGGAUUAGAAUCUGCAAAUCUUGUAGACGUGUUUGAUGCAGGUAAUUGGAGUAACCCCGUCAAUGAAUUUUCUACUGACCGUCUGCCGGUCAAGAGAGGCGAUCCAGGACGCCCCAUCAUCCCGAUCUCCAUCGGCAUGGUGGACUUCCCAGAAGCACUCUGUGACUUUGGCUCCAGCGUCAACAUUAUACCCAGGGUACUCUAUGAAAAAUUCUUUACAUAUCCUUUAUUAGAGACAACCAUGUGUUUGUAGUUUGCAGAUCAGACGAUAACUUUCCCAAAAGGAAUAGUGAGGAACCUUUGUAUCCGAGUUGGUACCUUGUAUGCCCCAGCAGACUUCGUAGUGGUAGAGACCGGAAAUGAUGAGAGAGCACCUAUCAUCCUAGGGAGGCCAUUUCUGAACACCACGGGAGCUAUCAUCUACGCCAGUGCUGCCAAGAUCAGUUUCUACGUCAAAGGGAAGAAGGAAACAUUUUUCUUCAAGAAUAGGACUACACAAAUUCAAGAUCAAUCCAGACGUAAAUCAAGGAAGAGGACCAACAGGAGAAACAGGAACAAGCAAGUGUGGACCGAGUCAGCUAAGAUGGUCACUGUAGUCCAUGGAGGCCAAGAUCACCAACUUAAGUCACCGUUUUUGACCAAGAAGGACGACCCAGGAAUGCCAAGCAUCUACUGCUCCAUAAAUGGAUACAACUUCUACAAGACGAUUUGUGACACCGGAUCACGCGUCAACAUAAUGGCCGCAGUCACCUAUCGGCUCUUGUUCGGGACCAUGCCACUAAGACCAACAUACAUUCAGCUCCAGAUGGCAGAUCAGACAUUUCGAGAAGUUAAAGGAAUAGUAUCUGAUGUCCCAGUCAAAAUAGACGAUCAUUUUGUCUACACAGACUUUCAAGUUGUUGACAUGGGAGAAGACGAGUAUGAUCCACCCAUCAUCCUUGGAAGACCGUUCCUCAGCACCGUUAAAGCCAUUAUCUACAUUGGAACCGGAGAAGUCCAUAUGCACUUCCCCUCAGAGAAGGUACGCCGUUAUUUUACUGACCCUAACUAUAUCGUUGAAGAAUCUAAGCAGGUUAGAAAGAGACGCAACCGCAACCAGAGGAGGCAGAUCAUCAAGGAUGGAUGGGCAGACUAUGAAGGAGAAGUUGUAAGGUCAGAAGACGUAGAGUUUAAACAGAAUUAUCCAGAGGAGAUUGAAGCACCGAGUCAGGUAUGGAAAAUGAAGAUAACUAUACAAGAAGAGGAGGCGCUGCCGGAAGUACCGACUACGCCACCCAACGAACCUCAGGACGAUUAAGAAAUUGGAGAGUCCCAUUCGGAGGACUUAAAAACACCGAACGCCUUGCCAAGAGGUAAACUUGGUAGUUACCUUUUCCCUUUCAAAUUAUUUAAAAUAGUUUACUUAGUUAAUCAUAUUCAUACUAUCUUAAAAAAAUAAAAGAAAAUAAAAAUAUGAAAAAAAGUAAGCCUCAUGUGAGUAUACGAGUGGCAUAAAAACCAUAAGUACAUUCACUGUGGUGGCAUAAAAAUAAAAUAAAUAUUUUUCUGCUUCAUAAAAAUAAAAAAUAAAAAUAUAAAAACAGGGAGUAAAAUUUAUUAAGGAGUCUCAAGAUAAUAAAGGCUAGAUAUUUAUGCUAACACUUAAUUAGUUCCACAAGCUUUGUUGUCUAUUUGAGCUCCAUAGAAUUUAAAAUCAAGAAGACUAGCAGACGGAGGACAUUCUAAUCGCUGUCAGAAUGCUGCUGACUUUCAAAUACACCUCUGCCACCUACUAGCUACAUCAAGAGAAAUUACGUCAAAAUUCAGCUUGGGGGAGAGCACCCCCAUUUAUCCCGAUAAGUAUUUCUAUCUAUCUUUAUACUUAUACUAUUUUAGAAUAUUAAUACACAUAAACUAUGGGAAAACCAAAUAAAGAUUUUAUGCUUAUAUAUAUAUAUUACUUAGUGUGUUUAAUUAAUAAAUAAAGUGGCUAUGCUAAUCUGUAUCUAAUAAAACUUAAGCAUGGAUAUGAUGAAUAGUUGCUCUGCCUAAUUUGCACAUUUUAAGUUCUCUCUCAAGUUUAGACAUAACUGUUAUAAUUUAAAGCUUGCUCUAGACCUAAACUUGUGGGAUGAAAACUUGAUCUGAAGUCUAAGUUGUUAAUGGAUACGAUAUGGAAAGGCUGAGCUGCUGUUUAUCUGUUCCUAGAGAUGCUAGAAUUCUGGAGAAUUUUAUCUUUGAAAAUCUUUAAAAUGUUGCAUGAUGAGUUCCUGUAUGAUGAGAGCUUAAAUUCCUACCACAGCCAUAUAUACAUGCUUGGUAGACCUUGAGCCACACAUUUAUUAUUUACUGCUUAUGAGCAUUGAGUGUGGUCAAGCUGUGUAGACCCUUAGGAGCUUGUCAUGUGGUUAAAUCAAGAUUUCACUUGCACGUUCACUCAUAUAUGCUACUUCUACUCCGGAAGUACCAUCCACAUAUGUCCAUCCAUUCCGUCUCCAGAACCACCUGAAAAUAUUCUACUCCUAAUCCGGGAGAGAAUAACCAAAAAUAUUUUCUGUUUUCCCCUUUGUGAAAUAAAUGCUCAAGUUAUCUUGUUACUACCACUUGCUAUAUUAUCUCAAGAGAUGAAUGCUCUAAAAAGAGAGAGAGAGAGAGAGAAGAAUAAUACGAGGAAAUAAAAAGGAGCAAGUGCUCGGAACCUCGAAAGAAAAGAAAAAGUGAGACGAGAGGUAAAAAUGGACAAGUGUCCGACAUUAGAAUUAGGGGUGCAAGAUACCCACCUGAGAGAAAAGAAAAAGAAGAGCAUCUCAUUCUCCUCAUAAAGUUUCAAAAGCAAGGAAGGUAUGUAUCCCCUCAAAAGAGCAAAGUAGAAUUAGACUUCCACCACCAUUAUUAUCACCAUCAUCACCAUACACCAUUCAUUCGCCACACAUGCACAUCUUGAUUAAACUUAUUGACUUGUUACUUUGGAUCCAUGGUUUGACUAUGCAAUAAAUGUCUUGUAAGUAUGUAUACUUUAUCUCCCACCUAUGAGCUCCAGAUAUUAAAGCCUUAUUAGAGUAGGAUGAGAGAGAAGGCAAUGUCACUAUGCCUUAUACCACAAAUACUACAUAUCUUGAGAGAAGGCAUAUACCAUCAAUGCCUUGGUAAGGAUCCAGAAAUACCACAAAAGAGAGACCUGAGAGAAUCAUACAAGGAAUCUCUGAGUUUUAUUUGAAAAUCUGCAAAAAAAAACCCCAG